AAUAACUGAUAAAUGUAGCACACCCUGAUGCAAUUGCAGUACUACUGCACAUUAACCAGCUAAUAAAUAGAAACACAAGCAAAAUAUGGACAGAUUAAUUUGCAAGAAAAUAUAAAAAGACUAAACAGAGAAAGGUACAUUCGCAUGUAUGCAAUUAGGUCCUAACUUUUAAAAAUCUGACCAUAAUUUUCACAAAUGCUUUGAAAGAUCCUUUACAUCAGAUCUGAGAUGAAGAAAAUUAUUUAAUUGUGCAUACAACAAAUAACAAAAAAUUUUUUGGCCUGUAGAUUUAAGUGAUAACAAAAGACUAGCAGAUCAUUGCAUGAUUAGCUACAAGGGAAUUCACCUUUUUUUUUUUUUUUUCCUUUUUCUAUCUUUUUUCUUCUUUUCGUCUUUUGGUAACAAACUUCUACCACAAGCCAUAAUCCAUCUCACCAGAAGAUAAAAUCUUUGCUAGAAGUUCUAAGCCUGAGACAACACCAAUAAGUUUGACUGCAACCAUCAUACCAACUUUCACUCUCCAUAAAUUGUUUUCAACAAAAUUAUUCUCACAUUUUACACUCACCAACAUUAUCCCCUGUGCACAACUCAAUUUGGUGAAAAAUCCAGAACAAUUAUCAAUUCUAAAGAACUCUAGCUCGUCAGAUAUUUCUAUCAAAUUCAAAUAAUUAUUUCCAAAAUGUUGAAAUUCAAAAUUAUUUCUAGCCCUCCCAAGUCCUAAUCUUCCACUUAGAUCAGUCCAUUAUCAGGUAAUCAUCCUUUCCAAAUAAGCACACACAGAAAAGUAACAAAUACAAUAAAUACUAACAUUUGCUUUAUAUGUAUAGUUCACAAUUAAUUACAAGAGACAGAAAGUGCUUACGUUUUCUUCAUGAGGGCCUUCUCAGCAUAGUUUUUCUUGGCAAUCAUCUUACCCUUAAUACCCAAUGCCUGAUAUCACCAAUAGAAACCAAAUUAAAAUCCUAUUCCCGCAUGAACCAAUCAUCAUUAAAAAAAAAAAAAAAAUUGACAGAGAAAAGAAGAAGCAGACCUUCUGGGCUCUUUCAGAGCGCUUGUGAACUUCACGCGCCUCCUUCUUGCGCUUGCGCUCGAAGUGGUCGAGGCGGUAGCCAUGCCUCUUCCUGUGCAGUUCUAUGUAAUCCCCUUGCGGCUAUCAUCAAAAUAUCAAUUAUCAGUUAAUCAAAAACGAUAAAAAUAAAAAUAAAAAUAAACCAAAACUUGAAGCAUCGCAAAAUAGAGAACAACAAACCAUGGCGAAUUCACUUUCAGUAUCAGACUACAGAAAGAAGAAACCAGAGUGUAAACUAUUUUUUGCGUUAGAAGAUAGAAACCCUAACUAAAAAGUUUUCGAUUUUUAGGACUGAAAAUGGGUUUUAAUUUUCGGGUGGAGAAGUUGGGUUUUGGAUGUUACGACCGGUGCAUACCGCCAAUUAAUUGGGUCCGUGAAGACAAGUUUUGCCCUGGGCCUUUUCUUCACCCAAUUGGGCUGCAUUCUAAGUCAGGGUUAUGAAGCUAUGAAUUAGGCCCAAAAAUCUUGGCUCAAAUUAUUUACUAAUUUGGGUCAACUUAAAUAGAAAAAUUUUAAAUUUAAAACAUUUUUUUAACAGCCAAAUAAUAUUUUAUUAUUAUUAUUAAAAUUAGGAAAAGCUUAACAAGUUCCGGAAUCUAAUCUCAAAUCAAUGGUUCCCAAUACACCCAAUAUAAUCAAAGAGAGUUAAGUGAAAAGAACCCGAUGCUAAGGUUAAUCAAGAAAUAAGAGUAAACAGAAUAUUGAAGAGUAGGAAAAAUUCUUGAGAUAAGAAUACAACGCUACAAUAAAACAGCCUCCCUUGAUUCAUAAAAAAAAAAUCACUAAAUAUAAAAUUUUCAUCUGCAAAAACAUAAAUUGAUGGUAGUAUAAUCAAACAUGCAUCAUAUACUCUUAUCACAGAAUCUUUUAUGGCACUUGAAGGUUCUUUAAAAAUUAAAACAAAAAAUUUACUUAUUUUUCAAACGAAUGAUACUCAAUUUGCAAUCUAAAUUUGAUCGCAACGUACAAUUUAUAGAAAACUAAUCUUUUUUUUUUUAUUAGAUUAAGUGCAUUGAUUAGGUCAUAAAAGAAAACGAUUAACCAUUUAUAAAUCAGAUUAUAAUUAUAUGUUUCUCAUGCGUAUGAACGAGUUAAAAAAAAGAAUAAAAAUUGAGUUUAAUUAAAAAAUUCUACUAAAAUCAAUUUAAAAAGUCAAUUUUAGAUAAAUUAUACAUUUAGAGUCAAUCCAUGUAACAAAUUGGAAAAAACCAAAUCUUAAACUAAUAAGUGAGGAAAAAGUGAAAUGAGUGCAUGUGUUGGUGUGUAGUGUGAUUGGAUAUUUUGUGUUGAAGGUGAAAUUAUGAGCAGAGGCACAGCUCAGGUGGGUCUUAAUAUUUGAAAGCACAUGCAAAAUUAUGUUAAUCAUUGAACUUGGUGUUCCCAAUUUGCAGUUAUAGUUAUUGAUCACAUGCCAUUAUUUUGUCCCCAGAUCGAUAAUGGGACUGUCCAUGUUUCUCAUUCCUUUCAAAUUUUCUGGAACUUCGGGUUCUAGUUUUAAAAUAAACAUUGUACCACUAUUAUUAGAUUGAAAAACAAUAUAUUUUCUAUUGUUUGAUUAUAAUAUUGAAAAUUAAUUGAAUUUUAAAAGAUUAUAAAAAUAUUUAUAAUUAUCAAGUUUCAUAUUUUAAAAUUUAUUAUUAAAUAUGAGAAGAAAAUAAAUAAAAUUGAUAAAUUAUAGUAGUUGCUAAUAAAUGAUAUUACCUCUAUUUUAUGAUAGUUGUCACAUUUGGAACUUCACAUCUCUUUAAAAAACUAUUAAAUUUGCCCAAGUUAUAAUAAAUUAUUGAAUUAAUUGAUUAUAUUAUUCUUAAUUUAAUAUUAAUUUUCUAAAAUAUCAUUAAAUUAAAGUAAUAUUUAUUGAUCAUAUACAAAGGGUAAACAUGAAAAAAAGAGAUUUAUUACUGUUUGGAACUACAAAUGUGACAAAUAUUCUGAAACAAGCUAUUUUUUUCAAAUGUGACAAGUAUUAUGGAACGGAGGUAGUACCAACCACUAAUGUUGAAGGCCAUUAACUGGUAAUCAAUAAUAAUGAGUACGGUGGACUAAUAAAUGUGUAUUUAUAAAAUUAUAAUAAAUAUAUAAAUAUUCAAAAAAUAUUUUCUUGUUUCAAAAGAGAAAAGUCAUUUUCUUUUAAAAUAAAAAUACCUUUCCUCUUAAUUUAGAAAAUAUUUAUGCUGACUAAUUUUCCUAGACACCUUAAAUAUUAGAAAAUUUGAAAAAAAUGUUUUCUAUGCAAAUUAUUUUUCAAAAAACAAAUGAAACCUUUAUUUCAAAAUUUUUUUAGUUGAUUCCAAUUAGAAUAUUUUUAGACUAGUUUACACAUCAAUUAAAGAUAUUCAUAAUCUAAAUGUACAUAUAUUGAAUGUAUGGGGUGGAUAUUCAAUGGAACAAAGUAAUUUAGUACAUGAUUAAGACAACAACAUGUUUACCUAUAUAGUUAUGUUUUUGGAAUUUGGAUGAAGCAUGUGCAUGCUAUUCUUUAGCAAGAAGCUUAGACAGAUUGUACAUACACACACCAUGUCUAUUGGGCAGUGCAUUGAACAUUCAUUUUCCAACUAUAUAUGUUAUUUAGAUGAGAUGGAUACCCAUCCAUCCUUUAUCCCUUCAAUAAUGGCAAUGGACCUUAGGGAGGGCUUAGUGGUCUCAAUUUACAAUUCUAGAAGACUCUUCUCCCUUUUUAAUUUCCAAAUGUCCUACCUUCUACUUAUACGUAUAUACAUACUACUACUCCAAUAGUUUUUGUACUUUCAUUCACAAAAAAAUAUAUAUAUAUAUAUAUAUANNNNNNNNNNNNNNNNNNNNNNNNNNNNNNNNNNNNNNNNNNNNNNNNNNNNNNNNNNNNNNNNNNNNNNNNNNNNNNNNNNNNNNNNNNNNNNNNNNNNNNNNNNNNNNNNNNNNNNNNNNNNNNNNNNNNNNNNNNNNNNNNNNNNNNNNNNNNNNNNNNNNNNNNNNNNNNNNNNNNNNNNNNNNNNNAUAUAUAUAUAUAUAUAUAUAUAUAUAUUCUUUACUAUAUAAAGUAUUGAAUAUUUUUUAAAUUGUAUAAUAUUUUAAAUGCUCAAUAAUUUAUUGUAUUAGACUUCAAUUUUAAGUUAAAACUUUUGACAUAUUGUUUUAUGUUUCUUCUAAUCAGACAGUCUGAAAUUAAAAAAUGAAAUAUUUUAAUCUUUAAACGUUCAUUUGUAUAUGAUUAGAAAUGAAAAAAUAUUUUUAUUAGAAGUUUUGAACUUCAUACUUUAAACCAGAUUGAAGAGAUUUACUAGAAAGAAAGAUUUAUUACUAUUGUAUAAUUUAUCUUCAUCCUAUAUUCAAAAAAAUCAAAUUUAAAAAAAAAAUAAUUGCAUCUAGAGAGUUAUUUUCUAUCGAGGAAUGAAAGUUAGUUGGGCCAAAAUGAAAAUUCACCCUGAAUUAGAGGAAUGUAAUUGGCCUGAUUAGUGGAAAAUUAAAUGGUAAAGAGAAAAAAAAAAGGUUGAAGGUUUGACCUUGACUAUUCUUACUUUAAGUUCUUUUGACCAUAUAUACUUGAUUCUUUUAUCAGAUAUCAAUGUCGUUUUGUGCCCCUUCUUCUCCACAACAAAAAGCUAUAGUUUCUAUUCUUUCUCAGGAAUAUGUUUUGCUUGCUCAUUACUUUACAUUUAUGAUUUUAGCAAACCUUCAAGUUAAACUAGAAAAUGGUUAAAGGUCACCCCCACAUUUUUUCCGUUAGAGACCUUGUAAAUUUUAGUUCACAAAAUUAUCUUUCUAGUCAUGAAUUUCAAAUCUAAAAGUCAUCACUUUGAUACUCCAUCAAUAUUCAUAUUUGUAAGAAAAUUAUAAUAUUAAAAAUCUAGUUUAAGAAAAAUAUAAUUUUAUAUGAGUUGAUUAGUUAUAAUCAAAACUGUAAAUAAGUUGAGCUAAACUGAACUUUGUUGAGCUUAAGCUCGGCUAGUUAAAGACACAUUUGAAUUUAACUCAUUAAAUUUAAAGAAUAAAUUAUUUUAAAAUUGAAUUUCAAUUUUGAAUAACUCACGAGCGGCUUGAUUUAUUUAUAAUUCAAUUUAUAAUAUCUUCAAAAAUUUAGAUAUCAUAUUUCAUGUCAUUUAUAAUAAUAUUAUUGGAAAAAUGAUAUGAAAAUUAUCAACAAGAUAUUGAUUGAUGUGGUAAAUCAUCUCAAUUCUUAUAGGGACGAGAAUACAAAUCCAAUUUUCAUGAAGUGGGCUUUGCUGAGAAGGCAAGGGAAUCCAACUUCUUGAAACUUAGGUUAAUUUAAUUAUAUCAUAAUUGGUCUAAAUAAAUUAUACUAUAUAUCAAAACCAAAACCCCACCAAUUUGAGGAUUUUAAUAAUAAUAAUUUAUAGUAAUAAUAAGAUAUCCAAUUAGAGGAAAAGCAAAAGGAAAGUGAUGGUGGGGCUCACACUUUUUGACCCUUUGGACUUAGCUCGCUAUAAAUCUAUAAUGUAAGAACCUAAUGCCACUUGAAAACAAAAAGCUUAGCAUAAAAUAUGGGACCCAUUUUUGUCUAUUCUUUUAAAGUCUCAAUCAAAAGCUACCUUUGCACCGCCACUCCACACCAAAACUUUUAGAAUGAUCAAUCAACAUUAUUUUUAUUUUCUAUUUUUAUUUUUUGCAAUAUAAAAAAAAACAAUUAAUUAAAAAAUUUAAUAGUAGAAGAUACAUAUGCCCUACCCUUGUUGGUAUAUGGUAGAGAAAUGUUAAAUGAUUGGUAUAAUACUUCCAAUUUAUGUCAUGUAUGAUCUCAAAAUACUUUUUUGUCCUCUCAUUUUUGUUUGAGAUGGAAUAACUUUUAAAAUUUUUAUUUAUUUGGUUAAUUUAAUAACUUUUUAAGAAACACAUUAGAAAAUGUUAUCAUAUCGAAUAUAAUUUAUUUAAAUUACUUUUAAUUCAAUAUUUUUUGAAUUCAUCUCAAUGCUUUUCCUUUUAUCUAUUGGACGGUUAAAUAAAUCAUAAUAGUAAUUAUUUAUAGUAAAAAGAACUUGGAUUUGAAACUUCUCAUAUUUUAAAGGGGCAUUUGAUUUAAUUGUUCCAUGCAGCUAAUAGUUGUUUCACAUCCAACAACUACGUUGUAGGGGUUUGAUAGCUUUUUUAAUCUCCAGCUGAUAACUAAUAUGAGUCUCAAUCAGCUGUUAGAUUUGUUCAGCAAAUUUAACUGUUCUAGUAAUUUUUAACUGUUUUAAUAGCUGUCAACAUUUUACUAGUGAUUAGAUGUUAAAUAUUAACUGUUAGUAGUUAACGAUUAUAUAACGAUUUAGAAUAAAAGUGCUUUGUACAAAUUACUGUUUGAUUAGCUGUUUAAUAUAAAAUGAUAAAAAAAUAAUAUGAAAGCAAGAAACAAAGUAAAGACAAGUGAUAGAUAAGAGUGUCAAUGUGUCAUAAAUAAAUUAUAAAACACUAAACGUUAAUGAAGAUAACAUUUCAUAAGACACUAUCCAAACUCUAAACGUUAGGCUAUAUAUUGUAUUAUAGAACAUUAUAAUUAAUUAAAAUAGUAUUUUAACGCUAUCAAAACAUUAAACACUAUUUCAAACGCCGCUGCUGACCAGGGCAGUUGUUUCCAUUAGCUACCCUUUGGAACUUUUUUUAUCAGCUAGUAGUUGAUUCGUUUUUAUAUUAUUUUAGAUUUUAUUAACCUCAUACAAAUAAUUGCUAAUAUUUUUUUAAAAUUGAUAUUUUUAUGAUCAUUUUAUUUAUAGUUAUUUAAAAAUAAUUUAUUUAAAAUAUUAUUUUAAAAUUAUAAUUAUUAUUUUAUUAAUAUAAUACAUUAAAAUAAUUUAUUCACUUUAUAUAUAUAUAUAUAUCAUAAUAAAUAAAAAUAAUUAAGUUUUAAUAGUCAUUUUAUAUUUCAACAGGUUACCAACAUUUUACUGCUACCAACAUUUUACCAAGCAUGAAUAGUAAUCAGAUAACCGUUAUUAGCCAUCAGCUAUCAGCAAUCGCUUUCAGCUCGCUAAACUGAACGAGCCUAAAUGUUUAUAGAAAAUGAGAACUAGAUUACACAUAGAUAGGAAACUCAAUAAUAAAUAAAUUCUUUUGAUUGAAUAUUCAUGUAGGUAAUUAUCUAGCUCCAUUUUGAUUUUAUUUUUCCUCACGCCAAAUAAAAUUUUUUUUUAUUGUUAGUUUUAGAAUUUUAUUUAUCAAGUGUAAGUUUUGCCAAAUGUAUUAAGUCUAACUACAAUUUUCUCAUUAAUCAGAUUUUAAUACAAGAUGAAAAUGAGUUUUAUUUGUAUGUUCACAUUAUAACGUGAUAAAUAAUUUCUAAGUACCACAAAUUGGCAAAGAUAAAAAAUAUUUAUGAGCGCAAGUCACAUAAAAUCACAUUAACAUAUAAGUUCAUAAAUCUAUUUCAUAAAUUUAAAUAUAAUAUAAUUAAAUUUAUUUUUAAUAAAAUAUAGUUAGUUAUAUUACAUUAUAUUUUAUAAUGUGGUACUUGUGAGAUUGAGAAUUUAAAACUAAAUUUGAAUGCUUCAUGAACAUAAAUUAACUGAUAUAAAUUAAAUUAUAUUUUCUUAUUUCAGAAUAAAAAUAAAAUUACCAUAUAUAUAUAGUCCUAAAUUAUAGAGAAUAUUACAUAAUUUAUUCACAACUUAUUCUAUUGUGAUGAUUAGGGUUUAAUUGAUUUUAAAUUAAAUAAUUAAAAUUUCUGUAAUAAUUGAGGAGUACAAGGACACACAGUCUUUUCUAAAUUAUUCUAUAUAAAUAGGAGUAGGCAUGACCACGUUUUCAGAACUGUCAUUUAUGGUUAUAAAAAAGCUAAAAUCAAAAUUGAAUGGCUUUUAAACAGUCUCUAAGACAAUUUUAAAACCGCCGAUUUUGAUUUUUUUUCUGAUUUUGAACCAAAAUUAAAUAAUAUAUUUUAAAAUUUUUAAAAUAUUUUUUAAAGAUUUGUACCUUGAAUAAAUAAUAAUAAUAAUAACAAUAAAUUUUAUUAUUGAAAAAACUAAAUAUAUUUAAUAAAAAUUCUUUAAAAUUACCUUAAAAAAUUAUAAUGAAAUAAAAAAAUAAAUUGGAAGUUUUUUUAAAAACAUAUUUUUUACGAUUUCAAAUCGGAACUGCUGGUUUCGGUUUCAAAUUUUGAAGAAUUGAAACCAAACAUUAAAUUCAUAGUUUCGAUUAUAAUUUUAGAACCAAAACAGUUAAUUUAGUGUCGGUUCGAUUUCAGUUUAAAAUCGAACUAUAGUCAUCCCUAAAUAGGAGUAUUUAUAAAUUAAACCACUUGAUGAAUUGUUGAGCUGCACUUGUUAAUAUUCAAAUUCAUCACUUUGAUUUUCAUUAAAUCAAACAAGUGGAAUUCAAAUAUUAUUAUAUCAAAUCAAGUAUUUAAAACUUUACAUAAUAUAAUAGAUAUAUAACAUAAUAUAAUAUAAAUCAUAUUAAAUUAUAAUUUACUAAUUUAAGCUUCAAAUUUUGAAUUUAUUUUUAAAUAUUAAUUUCACAUUCGCAAUAAAUUCUAAAGUUUAAUAUUAAGUAAAUACACCAAGAGAUACCCUAGUGGUAAAUAUAUAUAUAGCCUAAUAAUAGAUUCAGGUUCAAAUCCUCUUUUCCCCAAUACUAAAAAAAAAAAAAAAAAAAAAAAAAAAAAAAAAAAAAAAAUACUAAGCAAGUAAAUUUGACAGUUUCAAGUACUUAUUAAUUCACUUUUAAAUAUAAAAAUUAAAAUUUAAUUAAACUCAAAUCAAAUUUUAAUUACCAAACACAGUAAAUUUGAGUAUUUUAUGAUGUCAAUCCCAAUAUCACUUACUUCCUCCGUUUAAAAUUAUACUCCCAAAAUAUGUUGUCAUGUUUUGAUAUUACCCUUAUUUGCAUUAUAGUACAAUAAUUACCUUCACAAAUUAUUCUUGGUUUCGUGUUAAAUAGUAAUUUAGUAAAAUUACCAUUGAUUUUAUUAUAAUUUAGGAUAAUUAAUUGUUUCCUUAAUCUAGUGUAAAAACCUUAAAUGACUUAUAUAUUAUAAUAAAUUGAUUAGUUAUGUGCCUAUAUUUAGAUGUAGAGAAUACUUAUUUCAAGUCGGUAUAUGGCUGAAGGAUAACAGAAGUAGCUACAAAUGCAUGUAAGUUUACAAAUGUGAGUUACUAAAAUAUAUACUUACCUUAAUUUCAUCUCAUGUGUAACAGACCGGUUUUGAUUAAGGGGAGCAAAAGAACCGACCGAAUCAAAUUGGCAAUUCGAACUGUACUGAUUCAAUUUGGUUGAGUCAAUGUGCUUAUAAGAAAAUUGAUUGUUUAUUUGAAUGGUUUAAAUCAAAAUGGAUUAUGUAUUUAGAUGGUUUAAAUCAACUCAAUUUUAUAAAAACCAAUCAGUUAGGCUUAAAAUCAAACUGUUUCAACAAAAAUCAAUUAAAACGACUGAAUCAGAUUAGUUCAGUUUUGAGUCCAUUCAACUUUGAUAUUAACUUGGGUUUAGUUGAAUUUUAAUUUUGGAAAAUUCAUUUUACCUUUAUCAUGUCUGUUCGGUUUGGUUCAGUUUUGAACCUAACCGACGGCUGACUUCUUCUCUUGAUUUGGUGUUAGGGGGACCAUAUAUAUAGUUAUGAUAACCUUCAAUUUCAACCUGAAAAGAAGCAUGGAAUUUAGUGCACCAUGCAAUUAAUUCAAUUUCAUAGAUCCAAAUAAUCCGCCGACAAAGAAAAAUUAAAAGACAUUUCCUCAUUUUCACUUGUUCAAUUAAAUAUAAAUUGCUUUUGAAGUGAGUGCUCUAAUGUCCUUAUCAACCAUACUUUUUUUUUUACUUUUUUCCAAGAUUAAGCAAAACAAUUUGAUUCAACUUUUCUAAUCACAAGUCAUUUUCCUUCUUCUUUCCAUGUGUUUAAUUAACUAAUACAUACUUCAUUUUUUAAUUACUCUCUUAAUUUCCUAGCUUAUGGACAAAAAGUAUACGAUCAACCCUCUUAAAUUUCCUUAUAAUAGUCAAAUUAGUUUCCAACAUUUAAUUGAAUCUAUCUCAAUUUUAAUAUAAUUAAUUAUGUGUUUUCACAUUUGAAUCUAUCUCAAAUCACGGUGUUGCUGAUAUUAACAUUUUUUUUUUUGAAAGAGUAUACUUACUUUUUAUUGAGAGUACGCACAUUUGCCUUUAGUCUCAAAUUCUUUAUUUUAUUGUAAAAUACCUUUGUUUGUAAAAAAAAUAAAUAAAUAAAAGGUAGCUCCGUUUGUUUUAAAAAAAUUACUUACUCUUGAAAAAUAUUUUUCAAAUAAUUUAUUUUUUAUUAUUUAGUUGCAAUAUAAAAAAUUAGUUAAAAAUAUUAAAAUCUAUAACACAUUGAAAAUAUUUACAAUACAUAUUUUAAAAGUUUUAUUGUUAAACAUUAGAAAAAAUGCAAAAAAAAAGUAAAUUAUAAAGGUCACCGGUAACCGGUGAAAGUUGAUGAUAGCCGGUGAUGAUAAUUGAUGGUACUAUUAAUGAUUAAUAAAUUAAAAAAUAGACUUUUAUAAACUUAUAAUAAGUUGAUGGAUGUCUGAAAAUUAUUUUCUGCUUUUAAAAAUGAAAAUUUAUUUUUUCUUAAAAUAGUUUUCCAUAAGUCAUUUUUACGAAUGCGCGAUGUCAAAAGCGUGGGGGACGUGGCUGUGUAAGCGUAAUGCGGAAUCAUCGUCAUCCACUCGGGUUCACUGUCUCCGUAAUUUUCGGAUUGCACGCGCCCACAGUCACAGAAUCACAUUCCCUUAAAAUAAUUUAUUUACAGUACUGCCAUUCAAAUCUUUAUUUCUAUUCUUUUCUUUUGUUUUUCAGGACACAUCUUAUCUUUGUAUUCCUCUUUAUCCGUUAUCAUACAACUUUUUUCAAUUUUUUAAUUUGCCUUCUUUUCUUUUGAGAAAACAAGAAUAAUCUUCUUUUUUUUUUCUUUUUAAUUAAUUUAUUUUAUCUAGAUUGUAGAAUGUAUAAAAAGUCGAUAUUCUAGGCAAUUAGGUAUUUUUUUUCAUUUAUUGAAAAGCUUAAUCCGUGUAUAAUUAUGGUCAUCGAAUAAAUAAAAUUCCUCGUCAUAAUUCUAAUAAUUGAAUAAGCAAAAUUUUGAUAAAUAACUAAUGAAUUUAUUUUCUUUUAGUUAUUCUUUUCCCCUUUACUCUAAUACCACAACGGAUUAUUUCAGAGUAUAAAAUAAUGAUUCCAAUGAUUUUUGCUACUGUAAUUUUCCUAACCAUGUUUUUUUUUUCGAGAUAUUUUGCCUCAAAAUAAGAAACUAUAUUGAUAUUAGGUAUCAAAUAAAAAUGAAAUAAAUAAAAUAAGUAAUAAAUAGAGAUAGAAAAAUAAAUGGCAGGUUUCAUCAAUUCUAUAGUUACUUCAAGUAGAUUGAAAUAACACUACAGACUAUAUAAUAAGAGUAGCUCUUUUCUUGACUCAACAAAUUGACGAAAAUUCUUGUGAUUGAGACUACUUUCCAUAUAAAUGAGAGGAACAACUAUGACCACAUCUAAUUGACAAUUAGGUGUAAUUUGUCAAUCGAUUUUAAAUCUUCUUCAUUAUAAAAUGUAAUUACUAAUUUCAUGAAUAUUAUUGACCUAAUAUAUCAAAAUACUCCGAACUUUAUAGAUUUUUUCAAUUUUAGUCCAUUUUGAUGUUUUUGUCAAUUUUACCUCAAUUUGAUAUUUUAUAGUAUCACACAUUCAAUUGCAAUUAAGGCAAAAUUGCACAUAAAAACUAUUUCCUUCUUUUUAAAAUCAUCAUUCGACUCUAAUAAAUAUUUAAAAAUUAAAAAUUAAAAAAAAAUUCUUUAUUCUAAACAAAUAAUAUUGCAUAUAUUAAAUUUUAGUUUUUGAAAUAAAUGCCAAUAUAUAAUUUUAUAAAAUAAAUUUAUAUCUAAAAUUAUCGAUUUUGAUUUCAUAAAAUAAAAAAUAAAAAUGUAAGUAUAUGAUUUGAUUAUAAUUUGAAAUCGAAAAUCAUUGAUCUAGUUUUGAUUUUACUUAAAGGAAAAAAGUGCCAAACCAAAAUUGAGUUUGAUGUUUUUGCUAGAUUCAAAAUACUAUCUCUUUUCAUUUUAUUGUUUGAUAACAUAAUAUUUAGUAACAUUUACAGGUUGAGAGAGUGUUUCACAAAAAUGUUGCUUCCUAUCAUUCAACAAUUAACUAAAGUUAUUUUAAAUUAGUUUACAUUUAAAAACUAGUUAAAUAUUUAUUUUUAUCAAAUACUUAUGUUUUAAAUCAUUAUAACCCUCGUUGCAUAAAUGGCUAACCACUAGUAACUUAUAUCUCAUAGUUAAUAGUUAGUAAAAUAGUCUAUGACCAUUAUAAUAAUUAAUCCCUAUGAUGAUAGCUAAUGUUAUUCAACAUGAUCUAAGUGUUUAGUUAAGGUACUUAAAAAUCACUUGAUAUUAUCCUACUAAACGCAUAUACAGGGAUAAGCGAAUAGCUUAAGCUAUAACUAAGCCUCGAACGGAUUAGAUAAAUUCUGAUAAUGGAUCCGAAUACCGGUGGAUUAAAAAAAAACACACAUAGAUAUACCAAAAUUACUAAAAGGGGUGAUGUUAAUGAAAUAGAAAGCCUAAAACUUUAUUAAAAAGAUAUAGUACUGACAUUUUUGAAAAUUAUUAGUUAGUAUAAUAUAGUCUUUUUAUUUGGUAAAAAUAGUUUUAAAAUAAGUAGAUAAUCAUAUAAAUAAGGUAAAGUUAAAUCAAAGGUUAAUAUUUUUAUUUUUUUUAUUUAAAAGUAGAUUUGACUGACUUGUCAAAUCAAUAUCUCUCUAUUUUCGACAACGACUGAGUUAAUGUCGAGAAAUAUUUUUCUUAAAAUCAUUGGAAAGAAAAUUUUGUCUCAAGCACAUUCGAAAACCAAAAUACUUUUGUAGCAAGUAUAUAUAUAAGUUAUUUUAAAUCUAAUUAAAAUAUAAUAUGAUAAAACCGAAAAAUAAAAAAAUGCAUACAGAAAAGAUACGUCAUCUCUCUUUCUUUUCCUAAAUUCAUCUCUUAAGUCAUUUUACAGACCAUUUCACUUGAUAUAAAUAAAUUCAAAGAUAUAAUUUAUUUAUAAAUAAAUUUUUUAUAUUUUGAAUAAAUUCAAAUUUAAAAAUUCAUUUACUUUUUGUCUUUUGAUAUAAUAAUUUUAGAAGUUUAAAUCGUUUUGCCAUAAAAUUUAGGUUGUUUAAAUUCAUGAAUUCAUUUAGAAAUCUACAUUUAUAGGUAGAAUUCAAUUUAAUUAUAUUGAAACCCAUAAAAUUAAAUUAGUAAAAUUCAUUCUUCAUCUCUUUCAUACUAAAAUACAAAUAUUUGGAUUUAUAGAUAAAUUUCACAAAAAUUCUGUGGGAUUGUGUUCUUCCAUAAAAUGUCUUGUUUCUAACGUAUACGGCUCCUUUACGGUAACGGUCUCGUGAUUUAAAAAGAUAAAAAGAGAAAAUAGAUAAAAACUUCAGAAAAAUAAAAAAAAUUAUUAGUUAAAAUUUUACAAAUAGAAAGAAAAUCUCUUUACCAUUAAUCAUAUUCAAAGUCUAACUAAUAACAUAAAUAAAUAAUGAAUGGGAUAUUAAAUUUAUUUUUAAUAUUGAAAUUAAUAAAAAAUAUUUUUUUAAAUUAAAUUAAAUAGUUGGAUGGCGAUAUUGUUACAACAAAAAUUAUUAUAAUCGAAUCUUAAUAUUAUAUUGACAAAAAAAAUUAUUAAAUUAAAUUAAAUAGUCUUAACUUUUUUUCAUGAAUAUUUUUAAUUAAUCUUCCCAUUAAUUACGAUAAAAAAAAUUUCUGGAUUUUAAGAUAUUUUAAUAAUUUUUCAUUUUUUUCUCAAACUAUAAGAAGAACAAAAAAAAAAAAUAAUAAAAUAAUAUUUAAAAGAAAAAAGACGAAAAAUAUAAAAGUUUGACAGCAAAGAUAAAAAUAAUUACCAGAGUAAUGCAGUUUUUGUUGAGGAAUUCCCAAAAAAAGUUUCAAGCAACAUAUAAAUAUAUAUACUUUGAAGCGGAAUCAGCAUGAUAAAAAAACGAUUUGCAUAGAAAAUUAUUAAAUCACUAUAAUUGAAAUCACUUAUACUUUAAGCAGAUUCGGUUAGAGGUGUGUAAAAUUACCAAUGAACCGAAUUGAAAAUCGAACUGAUCUAUUUCGGUUCAAUUCGGUCAGCUAUUCGAAGGAGGUUUGAUUUAUCGAUUUUGGAUUUAAACCAAAUUUAUUAUUUGGCUUGUGUCAAUAUCAUAGAAAUUUAUCGGCCGGACUUAAAAGCGAACUUACGAAACUGACCGAACUGGUUAGUUCGAUUUGAAUUGGUUCGAUUUAAAUGCUAAUUUUGGUUUGAUUCAAUCUGUCAUCAAAACAUUUCAAUUUGUAUUUUUUUUGGUUCGGUUUAAUUUGAACCAAUACACCUCUUCAUGUACAGUGAAUCUAUUUAAAGUACAGGAACAUUUGGUUGCAAUAUUUUAAUAUUUUUUUAUACAUAAAAACAUGUAUAUAACAAUGUAUGUAUGUUAGGUAUACAUAAUCCACUUACGGUAUAAACGGAUUCAGUUACAAUAGUUUAAUACUGAUUUAAUAUAAAUCGGUUUUUGGUUAUACUGAAUCCGCUUGUGUUAUAUACAGCUUCAUAUUCCUUGAAUUUUCAAAAAUUACUUAACAAAAAUUACAUUAUUUUGAUAAAUAAAUUUACUAAACACAUUAUUUUUGUCAUACACCGAAAAAUAUGCUACGUCCAUAAGUAGCCACAAUAGAGUACAAGAAUUCUUAAAAUGUAUGAAAGAGAAUAACAUAGUUUUAAGAUAAAAACCAGUGAAAAUAUACUUAUUGAAUGUAUAUAUAUAUAUAUAUAUAUAUAAACAAAAUGCAAAAAUAGAAAAAUAAAAUAAUUACUACAUAACAGAAGGAGAUUUUUUUUUUUCAAAAAAAAAAAAAAAAAAAAAAAACAGAAGGAGAUUAUUCAUUAUUAGUUUAUAUAUUAAAGACACUAUUUCGCCUUAAAAUAAUUUUUUCUCCGUCAAUACCUAACAAAUCUAAUUACGAAUCACCAUUUGUCAAAUGCUCGAAAGACAAAAAUACCCUUCGUGAAAUGGAUGAUGUUGUUGAGACAGAUAAAAAUGUAGAGCUCUGCCAGUGCCAUGUGUGGCGAGCUACUUUCCAGAACAACAUACCGUACCAACAAUUUACCAUUUCUUUCUCUUUAGAAUUUUAUCAGUUACCAAUUUCCCACAUUUUCUUUCUUCUCGCUCAAUUCAUUUUUUAUAUUUCUUUCCAUUCUUCAAAAAAUCCAGCUUUUGUGGUCUGUCUUUGGUUUUGAAGCUUAAUUUUGUUUUUAUCCUUUUCUUCACCACACUAACUCUAUAGUCAGCCGCAAAUUCCAUGCAGUCUUAAAUUUUGAGUCUUUUAAUUUGUUUUUGGGCAUUUCCAUGUGAGAUUUGAGAUGGGUAGUUCAAGAAGCAGCAGUUGGUGCUAAAAUGGUUCUUGAUGAAGCAAAAUGCAACUCUGCAGAUCUGCUGCUAUGAGAAACAACUACAUAAGACUUGUAUUUUUCGCACUACAACUGCUCUGUUAUGUUUCUUUGGUUUCUAGUGACACAGAUCCCAAUGACUUAGCUAUUCUCAAAGCGUUUAGAGAUGGGUUAGAGAAUCCAGCGCUCUUGGAGUGGCCUGCAAAUGGCGAUGAUCCAUGUGGUCAAUCUUGGAAACAUGUUUACUGUUCUGGUUCAAGGGUUUCUCAGAUUCAAGUUCAAAAUAUGAGCUUGAAGGGUCCUUUGCCUCAAAACCUGAACCAGCUUAUCAUGCUUGAAAAUUUAGGCCUUCAAAGGAAUCAAUUUACAGGGCCUUUACCAUCGUUUAAUGGGUUAUCAAAUCUAAAGUAUGCUUAUUUAGAUUAUAAUCAGUUUGAUUCUAUCCCAUCUGAUUUUUUUGAUGGUCUAGUGAAUUUGCAAGUCUUGGCAUUGGAUAAUAACCCUUUUAAUGCCACUACAGGGUGGACAUUUCCUGAUACGUUGCAGAAUUCUUCACAAUUAACAACUCUUUCUUGUAUGUACUGUAAUCUGGCUGGACCAUUGCCUGAUUUUUUAGGGAAUUUGUUUUCUUUGCAAAACCUGAGACUUUCAGGCAAUAAUUUAUCUGGUGAAAUCCCUCUUAGCUUUAGAGGUGGUAUGUCUCUGCAGAAUCUGUGGCUAAAUGAUCAAAAAGGCGGUGGCUUGAGUGGUACAAUUGAUUUGGUGGCAACAAUGGAAUCAGUAAGUGUUCUGUGGCUUCAUGGGAAUCAAUUCACAGGCAAAAUUCCAGAAAGCAUUGGUAGUUUGACUCUUUUGAAGGAUCUUAAUCUUAAUGGCAAUAAGCUUGUUGGAUUAAUUCCUUAUAGCUUGAUAAAUUUGCCUUUGGAGCAUUUAGAUUUGAAUAAUAAUCAAUUGAUGGGCCCAAUGCCAAAGUUUAAAGCAGCUAAGGUGUCUUGUACUCCAAAUCCUUUUUGUCAAUCCACUGCAGGGGUUCCUUGUGCCCCAGAAGUUAUGGCACUUAUAGAUUUCCUUGAUGGUUUGAAUUAUCCUCAACGACUUGUUUCUUCAUGGACUGGUAAUGAUCCAUGUUCAUCAUGGGUUGGAAUUACUUGUGAUUCUAGUAUGGUCUAUUCAAUUGCUUUGCCUAAUUUUAAUCUUAGUGGUACCUUGAGUCCUUCAGUUGCAAAUCUAGCUUCUCUUCAUCAAAUCAAACUUGGGGGUAACAAUCUUAGUGGUCAAGUUCCAACAAACUGGACUAACUUGACUUCCUUGAAAACUUUAGAUCUUAGCUAUAACAACCUUUACCCUCCAUUUCCAAAUUUCUCUAAUACUGUGAAUGUUGUUAUUACUGGGAAUCCUCUACUCAAUGGUGAUAAGUCCAAACCAGACAUCCCACCACCUAAUGAUAACAAUCCAUCUUCUGGAAGUUCAGAUUCACCGAAAACCCAAUCUCCAAAUACCAAAGGCACAGGUCCCAGACCCCGUGAGUCUUCUAUGGAAUCAAGAAAUGAGAAAGGUACUAAGAGGUCCACUUUUGUUGCAAUUGUAGCUCCUGUUGCAAGUGUUGCGGCUGUUGCUAUUUUGAUUAUUCCUUUAUCUAUUUACUAUUGUAAGAAGAGAAAAGACACUUACCAGGCUACAACUUCUUUAGUUAUCCACCCAAGAGAUCCAUCUGAUUCAGAUAACGUGGUUAAGAUUGCUGUUGCUAAUCACACCAAUGGAAGUACUUCUACCAUAACAGGGAGUGGUUCUGCAAGCAGAAAUAGUAGUGGUUUUGGUGAUUCUCAUGUCAUUGAAGCAGGAAAUCUGGUUAUAUCAGUUCAAGUUCUUCGAAAUGUUACAAAGAAUUUUGCCCCGGAGAAUGAGCUUGGCCGUGGUGGGUUUGGAGUGGUUUAUAAAGGAGAAUUGGAUGAUGGAACAAAAAUAGCAGUAAAAAGAAUGGAGGCUGGUAUUAUAAGCACCAAAGCCUUGGAUGAAUUUCAAUCUGAGAUUGCUGUUCUUUCAAAGGUUCGACAUCGUCAUUUAGUAUCACUUUUGGGUUAUUCAAUUGAAGGAAAUGAGAGAAUUCUAGUAUAUGAGUAUAUGCCUCAGGGAGCUCUAAGUAAGCAUCUUUUCCACUGGAAAAGCCUGAAAUUGGAACCUCUUUCUUGGAAGAGGAGGUUAAAUAUUGCAUUGGAUGUUGCUAGAGGAAUGGAGUAUCUUCAUAAUUUAGCUCACAGAAGCUUCAUACACAGAGAUCUCAAAUCAUCAAAUAUCUUGCUUGGUGAUGAUUUCAGGGCAAAAGUUUCAGAUUUUGGAUUGGUAAAACUUGCUCCUGAUGGGGAGAAAUCUGUGGUAACUAGGCUUGCUGGAACUUUUGGAUACUUGGCUCCAGAAUAUGCUGGUAGGCAUUCUAUUCUAUAUUCUCUGGGUUUGCUGCAGUUACUAUGUAAUUGCUGAAGUGACAUAUAAUUUUCCAAAAAAAAAAAAGGGGGUUUUGUUCCCCCCCUUUUCCCCAAUAUAUCUUGUGAUUUUUAUGAGUGUUAGUUGAAAUUAAAAUGUUUUAAAAUUCAAAAUUAAGUUAAUUUUGCUCAUAUGAAACUUUUGGCGGUUCAGAUUAAUUUAAAAAGAAAAUUGAAAAAUGUAGGUAAAUGUUUGAUUGCUGUGAAAAUUUCAUGCCCAAGUUAAGGUAUAUAAUCUUGACUAAAAAAUUAAAACCCUUAAUAUUACUUCAAUAGGAAAUGAAAACUCUGGAACAAGUUACAAAUGUCAAAGAAUUUAUUUUCAGAAUAGAUUGUUAGAAUAAAUUUUAUUUUCCUGUACUCUGCUUGAGCUACACCAAUGCCACUAUCCUAGUGACACUCACAUCCUGAUGCUAAUUGUUGUAGUGACUGGAAAAAUCACAACCAAGGCCGAUGUCUUUAGUUUUGGAGUUGUGUUAAUGGAGCUGUUGACUGGGUUGAUGGCACUCGAUGAGGACCGGCCAGAGGAGAGCCAGUACUUGGCUGCAUGGUUUUGGCGUAUUAAAUCUGAUGAGCAGAAACUGAGGGCUGCCAUUGACCCUGCCCUUGAUGUGAAAGAUGAAAAAUUUCAGAGUAUCUCCACUAUAGUUGAACUUGCUGGGCAUUGCACAGCUAGAGAACCAAGUCAAAGGCCAGAUAUGAGCCAUGCUGUGAAUGUAUUAGCCCCACUUGUCGAAAAAUGGAAACCUUUGGAUGAUGACACAGAAGAGUAUUGUGGUAUUGAUUAUAGCCUCCCACUUAAUCAGAUGGUGAAGGGCUGGCAGGAAGCAGAAGGAAAAGACUUCAGUUAUGUGGACCUAGAAGACAGCAAGAGUAGCAUACCGGCAAGGCCAACUGGCUUUGCAGAGUCUUUUACUUCUGCAGAUGGUCGUUAAAAGAGGUUUGCUGUUGCCUUUCUUCAACAAAAAUUCUUUUUUCUAGCUGUAGAUAUUAUGCUGUGUUGUUUCUGUGUUAGAAUUCAUUGUCAAUAUAUAGUGUCGUACUGUCAAUGCUAUUAUGAUGUAUUGUGCAUUCCAAAUGUUUAAGAGGUCUCAUGCAGGCUUUGAAUUUUUAGAGGUGAGAUUUUAAAUGCUAUUGGUAAUGUAGAUAGAGAAGAAUGAUGAAUGCAGACUAUUUGUCAAUUAUUUCUUGAUUAUAUCCAUGAAUUUCAUUAAAAUAUGUUCAUUUUUAGCCAAAACUUAGAUGUACUAUACUCUUUAGUUUCAUUUAUGCUCAUCUGCGACGAAAUUGCGAAUGUUAAAAUGUUUCCAUCAAUAAUUAUGGAUGACUUUUCCAUGGGAAUGAUUAUUAUCAGAUAAAUGUAUGGAAGCAUCUUUGCGUCUUUGUUUACCAAAUUUUAGCUGUCUUUUGCCAUUGUGAAUAAAUGAAACCCAUCUAACCUGAUUAUGGCCAUUUCCUAAGGUGUUUUAUGAUUGGAAUGUAAGUAAGAUUAAGGGCAUUAGCUGUUUUAGUAGCAAAUAGUUGUUUGAAUAACUUGUCAUAAAAGUCAAACAUUUCAAAAUGCUAUUUUAAUUUCUAAAAGCUAUUUUUUAAAAAAAAGUUAUUGUCGAACAUAGCCUAAGCGGUGUUGUUUAUUUUAGGUGGGUUGGGUUGGAAAUAUUUUUAAAAGCAUGUGUACACGGAGUUAUGAAUACGCUGAAUGAUAAUCCAAGAAAGGUUCUUUCUUCUUACUUUCUCCUCCUUUAUUUGGUAAAGCAAGUAAAAUCAAAUCGACAGAAAAUUAGGAUAGAAAGUGACGUAUGAUCGAAAUGGAAGGAAAUUCCGAGGAAACUGAGAGUGUUACUUAAUGAAACUCUGGUUUUAUGGUUUACCGGCAAAAAUGGAGGUCAUGAUCACACAUAUGUUUAUUGAUGGCCCCCUCCUGAGUAGGCAAAUUGAUUCCGGUAAGAGGAUCCACAUCCAGCAAAGGUUGGGAAGAUAAAGAUUGAAGUGGCGAUCAAAGAAAUUUAUGUCAUUAUCGUUAUUGCAACCAUAUAUUAUUAAAUAUACGGAACAUAUAACAGGACUGGUUAUGGCUGAUUGAUGCUUGGCCAUGUGGGUUGCUUUUCAAGGGUUUGGUCUCAUUAGGCUAUGGAAAUAUGCUGCUGCUGCUUCUCACCAAUCAAAUGCAAUAGGCUGGCGAUAUUGAGGGAUGUUUGCUGAUUGAGACUAUCAUGUUAAUUUUUUUUUUUUUUUAUUUCAAAAAAUGGUUUAAGGAAGAAUUUGGGAAUAGCUUAGGCUUAAUGUUAUAGUUUUAUACAUUUAUAAUAAUAUCGAGAUAAUAAUUCAUAUAUUUUGAGGGUAAAGUCGAAUAAUUUGAAUAUCUAAUUAAGAUGAAAUUACUCGAUUUCUGAGUUUAUUUAUAGAUCAAAUUAAUGAAAAAUAUUUUUUUAUUAAAAUAAAAUAUUUAACCGUUUAUUGAGAAAAAAAAGAAUAAUUCUUUUCAAAAUUAUAUUUUAAUUUAUCUAACCUACAGAUGGAAUCUUCUGGAUAAAUCUAAUUCUCAAAAAUAUAAAAAAUAUAGAUCAUCAGAAAGAAGAGACUACGUGGCACGGUGGCAGUAUAUGCUUUGGUCUAUGCCUCUGCUGCAGUCUGAAGCCCUAUAACAGUUUCUAGCCAGGUUUUAUGCAAUGCAUAUGCUCUAUGCAUAAAAUCAUGACCAUAUACAUACAUGCUAAAUACAUAAAUUUAACUCCUACACUCUGGUAAAAAAACAAAAUAGUCUCUAAAUUUCAAAAUUGAUCUUGUAAUACCAUAAAUUUUACUCCCUUCGUUCAUCAACAUUUUCUCUUUUCAGAAAAUGAUUAAAAUUUAUUAUUUUUUAAUAAUAUAUGAUACGAUGUUUAAAUUGUCUUUCUUAAAUAUAAAGAUAAAAAUAAAUUACACAUAAUAAAUAAGAGUAAAGUUAAAAAACAUAAUUAAUAUAUUUUCAAAAUUCUAAAUAAGCACUUAAAUUGAAAUAAAUGCUUAUUUGUCGCUAUUAAAGUAAAACGGAAUGAGUAUUUUUUUUAUAAUAAUUUCACACAGCAGACACUAGCAAUUAGGGGUGACCAAUCCGCCAGUUCACUUCGAACUGAAUCAAACCAAAAACAAAAAUUGCAAACCAAAGUUUUUGAGCAAUAGACUAAAUUGAAAUACGAAAUUCGCAUCUGAAUUGAAUCGACAAUUGAUUUGGUCAUUUUUGCCAUUUCGGUUCAGUUUUAAGCUAAUCGAUGAAUUUCUAUGAAAUCAAUCCAAAUUGGAUAAUAAAUUCGAUUCAAAAAAAAAAAAAAAAAAAAUUCAAACCUCGCUUGAAUAACUGACUGAACCGAACCAAAAUUGGCCAGUUUUUGGUCCAAUUUGAUCAAUGAAUUUACACAGUUCUACUAGUAACAAUAAUUUUUAAAAUUUUUAGCUUUUAUAUGCAAAUAAAUUUGAUACAUAAAUAGCAUAAUUUUUAAAUAAUAAUUUUUUAUUUUCAACUAUUCAAUAAGUGUUUGAGGUAUUGAACCAAUAAGUGUUUAUGGUGUUGAAUGAGUUAAAUUCAAAUAUUUAAAUUGAGAAACUUUAUAAAUUGAGGUGUUCAAUAGUCAAUAUUAAAAAUGAAAACGUUUCGGUUUGGCAAAGUUUGAAAAAAUUCCAAAUAGAACCAGAAAUUACGAUUUACAUAGUUUUUAACUCAAACCAAACCGUUUAAUCAAUGAAACCAAAUCAAAUCAGGUCGCAAUAAAGCAGUUUGGUGCAGCUUGAUGCAUUAAAAUGAUUUAAUGAAUUGUGCAAUGAAUUCAUGUAUAAUAUAUAAUAUAUAACAUAACAAAAAAAAAAAAAAAAAAAAAAAAAAAACAACUAGGAAAAAAACGCUUAAUGUUUUAUAGCAAAGAAGCAUAAUAAAAAAAUAUCAAUUUAUGCAAUAAAAACAAAAAUAUCACAUGCAAGUAACAUUUAUGGUCACCCAAGUGUGACCUUACUUAUAAGAAUCUAUUUGUAAAAUAAAUAAAUGUCUUUCAAUAUUAUAAUAUUGAAAACAUAAGAAAUGACUUUGAAAACAAACUAUCAUAUUCACAAAGUGUAUCUCUAAAGCUUCAAAUUAGAUGUAAAACAUAAUAAUUAAAAUUAACGCAAUGAACAUCGUAGAAUAUCAAAAUAAUUGUGAAGAUUUUGAAAUAUAUGUAAAACGAAAAAAAAAAAAAUCAUGUUGAUUAUAAUUCAACAUUUUAAUGAAUUCAUACAUGAUAUACAAGAUAACAUCCGAAAAAAAAUACCAUACUCUAAACUUUGUGUCUCAUCAAGGUUUAGAAUUUAUUAUUUCUGGUUCAGUUUUAAAUGAUUUAAUUAUAUAAAAAUCAAAUCAAAUUGUUUUUAAAGCGAUUUAUCAAACUGUAAACCAAUCAAACCAUUUCAAAUUGACAUUUUCGUGUAGUUUGGCAAUUUAAACUCUUUAAUGCUCAUUUAUAAUCAAAGUAAAAAUUAAGAAUGCUACAAAAUUUUAUAAAACAUACGGGUGAGUUUAUGCAUUAAGCCUACACAUACAAGCAGUACAAGAUUUUCUGGUUAUAUACUAAGAUAUCAAUCAAUCAAAUAUUAUUAAAGAUCAUAUCAAAAUAUGUAAGUAGCUAACAGUUAAGCAAACCAAUCUUUGUGCAAUGUCGGUUUUUAAAAUAUGUCUUCAAAAUGAACGGAGUACAUAUCAUUCUACGGGUAAACCUAUACAAUACAAGGACUCGUAAAUCACACGGUCAAAUAGCAUUUAAUACGAAUCAUUCUACGGUUAAAUCUAUACAAUGAUUCUGUAAUCACACAUUCACACUCGUAUCUAAAAGUUGUCAAAGUGCAUUGAAUUAUAAUUAUGACGCAAACUACAGCAACAUUCUUUUCUUUUCUUUUUUGGGUCAGUGCCACGGAUCUUCAAAUCCAAAUUGAUAUUAGCCCCUACAUCUAAGUGAAAUACAUAUUUCUGCUAUUCUUCAGUGAACUGGAAAUCUUACCCGAAAAAUUUCACUCUUGCUUAACCUUUCCUGUCAAUCCUUUGGGAAACGACAUGUCCUCUGAGAAGCAACCAAUGUGAUAAGCUCCUGGUGUCUGGUCCUUGGUAGAGGAAAUAGGAGGGGUUGUCGAAACUUUCAAAGGAGAAAAAUGCCGAUAAGGCCGAUGAACUGGAGGUAGCAAUACUGAUGAUUCUCGGUCCAUUGCCAAUAACCGCCCACACUUACUGCACCAACAACUAAAGAGUUCAUAAUCCAAAUCAGUUGCAUAAACUCGUAAAGUUAAAAGAAGCAACUGUCACCUGCAAACUUUGGUAAAUAGUGUUUGAUAGCUGCAAAUCCAAUGCUACAAAAAGAAAGGAACAAAAAAUAUACAACAUAAAUGUCCUGAAGUUGACUCAUUUUCUUAUGAAAACAUGAAAAAAAACCAGCAUUCAUAAAUUGAGAAGCAUACCAAAAGAAAGUACAAUGCUGUUUCAGUCCCAAUACCAAGAAAAUGUUGCAAAGCCAUUGUAGCAUGCUCCUGCAACAGCAUUAAAAGAAAUAAGCUUGAAAUGAAACAUUCAAACACUUCAGCAAGCACAAUAAGAGAGAAAAUUAGAGAAUGGUUACCGUGGUUUGUCUAAAUACAUGAUAAACUGAAAAACCUCUUGCAUGUAUAUAGCUGCCUCCCUAUUCAAUUAUGUAAAAGAUGAAUAAUGUCAGCUAAAUGCAGCAUAAAAGAAACAAGUCGAUAAUGAAUUCAGUAUGAUAAGGGUAACAAGGAAGUAGCAAACUCAAAAGCAUUGGAUUAUGCAUUAACUAACUUCGUAAAAUGACCAAUGUCUAACUUUGUAAAUGAACAACAUAAGAUUAUUUAAUGCACUGUACGCGGAUCAACAUAAUUUCGUAGCUGAUAACCAUAUCUAAUGGAACUAGCAUGUAGUGCAACAACAACAAACAAAAGUAUAAUAAAUAUGAUAUGUAACUGGUUGUCAUAUCAUGUUAGUUUACUGCUGAAUUCAAAAGGUUGAAGUGAUGACACCAUGCCAGAUACCAAGACCAUAUUAGACCUCAUAAAUGACUAACGCAAGACUCUAGUGAUCAAAAAUCCUAAUUUACUUGGGGUCCAUUCAUUAGCAAAAUUCUAGCUCCAAUUGUAAAUGAAACAUUAGAACUUGGAUUACAUGAAAGGGAUUACCAACUUUAGAAGAUCCCACCCAAUCCCUAUGGAUUCAUUACCUAUGGCCUACAAUUAUGAAUUCUAAGUUCAAACCACUGGAUAAACUUUUGUCCCGCCAAAUAAAUGAAUGGGGAACUUCUUAUUUUACUAUGUGGCAAACCUCUUCCCCAUUCACUUGAUGUGGCACUUUAUAUCUAGAUCCUAGAUCACUUGUUCAAGGCUAUCUGCACAUCCCUAUUACCAGUCUCAUCAACACAUGUUAAUUCUCAACAAAUGAAAACGUGUUUUCUGAGCCAAUAGGUUUCCUGCAAAGGGCCAAACAAAUUGCCAAGAUUACAAUCAUUGAUUUCCACUUUUCCAAAUAUCAUCAGCAGGAUGCAUCAAUUGAACACCUAACCAUGCGUCAGGAUAUUACAAUCACACUAUCCGAAAAUCCUUGGCAAAAGAAAAAAAAGACUGUCACACACCCAUAUUGAUAUUAAAAUACAGAUAUAAUAUGACCAUGAGCACAUCCACCAAGCAAGCACUAAAAUGCAAGCCUUCAAUUUUUUAUUGCAUAUCUGAAAAUGAAUCUUCACAUAGAAGAACAAUCAUUAAACUAUCAGGUGCAGUAAAACAUUCAUAUGGUGAAGUAAGGCAAUAUUGUAAAAUGUGAACCGUGACGAAUGAAACUAACCAAUCAUACGAAAUUCCCAAUGUAAGGAGAAACUAGAGUCUAUACAACAAGCACCUCAAAAACAAGUUACCUCAUCUGGUGAAAAGAAAGCUACGGCAUCUGGGUCAAUAGAACCAGCUGGAUGCAAUGAUACAAUAGCUCUGAAGACAGAGGGAAACAACAAUUCAAUUACAGCAACCUUAUCAGAGGUAGAUGAGCCCUGCGAUCCUGUUCUUAGUUUAUUUAAAGUAUGAAAAGUAUGCUCUUUUGAUGUUUCCAUAGGAUUCUCAUUUGCUGAAGUUGGCAGUGAAGAAGCUCUUUUCAACCAAUCGAGUCGUUCAUAAGUGAAAACUUUCAAAUUAGGCAUUUCUUUCUCCACACGUACUAGAAUGUCCGAUAAUGUUUUGCAAUCACUAAGAUCUUCUUGAAGAGCUGCUGAUAGUACUUGGGAACUGCAAUGUCUCUUUGGCAUUGAUUCAGCACUUUGACCAUCCAAUCCAUCAUCAAGAUGAGGAAAGAAACGUCUUUUCUGAUCUGUGAAUGCCUUAAGAGCUAACCUGCAUACAUUCAGAACUACAACUUAGUAGAAAAAGACAAAAAUAGAGCAUGUACUAAACAAACCAUGUUGGUUUGAUACUUUAACUUAACUGAGUCCUCAACCUAAAUGUGAUGAUAGAUAGACUAUUCUUUGUGUAUAAGUCAAAUUGUUGACAAUUGCACUCAGAGCCCUAACACCCAUGCUACACAGGCAGCCGAAUUUCUUGUUUAGGGCCAGAAAAGGGAUCGAACUUCAAAUUGAUAUAGGCAUUUUCCAUAACAACAUAAAAAUCUCCAAACCAACCUGGUUCUAUCAACAGCUGAUGCACCAGCCUGGCCAGCAAGUUGCCGUUUCCAUGCAUAUGCAACCACUGCACCAUCUGGGCAGACCAAUGGCAUGUGCAGACCCCAAGAAUUGCUUCGUGAUCUUAGAGAAUCAUUGAGAACCCCAGAUUCUUCUAGCUGCCUUCCUAACAAGAUUAUAAAGAUCCAAAAUUCAUGAAGAAUAGCACCUAAGUACAGAAGUUAAGCAAAACAAAAAAGAUACAGAAAACUAAAAUUAUCCACGGCCCAGAAACUAAUAUGUUUGUUCUCCAAUUUCUCCAUUAAAUGGAAGUAAAAUAUGGGACAUUCCAUUAGUAUAGUAUAUUUGCAUUUUUAUUAUCAUCUGCUACCAAGCCAAAAAGAAAAAUAAUAAACAAAUAACCCUAAAGGGCUUGAAAUUACAAGGAGAAAUGCAAAUGCAUAUUACAGAACAUACCAACGGAACGUAGUUCUUCAAGGUGUUGCCGCAUGGCAGUGUCUUCUUUGCGGAACAAUUGCAAGGGCUUGUUGCUCUGAUGAGGCUGCGCCGUGAUGAAAAGUGCUUCGAGGAUGCGGUCAGCGCCGAGCCUCACGUCAGCAAUGAGGCGAGCUGCUUGGGCCAGUCUAUCCAUCGCCAUUGCCACCUGCUUCGGCGGCGCAUCCGCUGGUGAAACCUGGUUCGAAUUCUGGAUACCUACCGGCUGAGGCUCCUGCAGCUGUUGCUGCUGCUGUUGCAUUAGAGCGUUGAGUUUCAUCCCUAAAAACAAGAGAAUUAGUCCUAGUAGUAACUCAAGCGCGCUGUUUGAGGCAAGAAGUUGGGGCCUUUCCUUUUCUGGUUGAGAUCCUCCGAGCCAAGUGCAGUUCGUUAAUGGAUCUCUACACUACAAAAGAAAGGAUAGUUAGGUUUUUUGGGACUUUCAGGCUAGACCAAAACAGAUAGUGCCGCCACCGUUAAAAAGUUAAAGCAUUUCGGGUACCCAAAUCCGAGAAUGUUAGCCCAAAAUCCUGAAACCCGAAAAUUAAUGAAUGAAAUAAAACCUCUCUUUUUGAAGGAUUAAAAGUUAAUAUUUUAAUCUCAAAAAAUUAAUAUUUUUCUCUCAAAAAUUAAUAUUUUAAUCACAAGAAUUAUUUGAAUUCCAAUUAUGUAAUAGCAGGGACUUAAAAGCUUCCUUAAUAAAAAAAAUAAGGGUAAUAAUAUUGUCGUAUCAGUUUUUUACCACAGUAAUAUAUUGACUGUUUUGCAAUUUAUUUUAUUAAAAUGAUAUUACACUAUUAUUUUAAUAGCAUAUUUAUAAAAUUCAAUUCAAUUUAACAAUCCCAUGAAAUGAAGACCAUUGAAAAUUGCCUCUUUAACUAAAAGAAAAAACAAAUAUCACGUAGAAUUGGCGAUCUAUUAUAUAAAUCAUACAAUUGUAUAUAAAACAGUACAACAAUAAUUUAUUACCGUGUUUACAGUUAAAUCUCUAAUAAUGUAAAUACAUAUUAAUUAUGGUAAAGGCUGAAAAUUAACUAUCAAUAUAUACUUUUCUACAAAAUGAUAUACAAGAAAGUGUCAAAAUUCAAUUAAUAGUUCUAUAGUCAUGAAGAUUGUCAUUAAAACAAAUAGAGAUUAGGUAAUGGACUUAUGAUUAAUAAUUAGAAAAUAUUAUUUUGAAAUCACCUGUUAGGAAUUUAUAGUAUAUUAUAUUAAUUGAAAAUUAUGAAAUGUAUUAUUUUAAUAAAUCCAUUAUUUUGUCAUUAAUAAAUAAUACUAUGUAGCAAUAAUGCUACCCAAGAAAAUUGGGAAAAAAAUAGAAAUUAUUUGGCAGUCGGUUUUCAAGUAUGGUUCGGGUUUAUUGAAACCCGGAUAGCUAGAAUCCAGAUCAGGUAGUUCGGGCUUUCGGGCAAACUUGAUCCAUUUUAUUCCAAAGCAUAUACAGCAAAGUUUCAAAUUUUUUUUGUGAAUACUGAAGUUAUCAUCUUCUUCCUGUUAAGAGUUCUCUUCAGUUUCUACUCCGGCAGCACCAAAUAGGUUCUUCAAUUUCUGUUGCUCUUCAUCUAUUUCCACAUGUAACUCUUGCUAUAUAUCUGUUUAGUUCGUGAAAUUUUGUUUUCUUCGUUUUCUCAGCUGCCAAACAGACAGUCAGGCUUCUACAUGGCCUAGCGAAAAGAUAAACUAGCACGAGCAUCGACAUUACAUUCAUUUAGCAAGAGUCUAAAUCGAAUUUAUUUGGUUUUUGUUUAAUUUUGUAAUUCGCAGUGAAAAUGGCAAAAACUAAGGCUUCCUCAAAGAAGCAGCAAAAGCGUGGUGUUGAUUUCAAGGUGAGUAAUCUACCUAUUAACAAUCUAAUUUCUCUGUUCUGUGUUCCAAAUUUGUUGGCUUAUUAAGAUGGAUUCUGUUUCCUUUUCUUUAUCUGUAGAAAAUUAAGCGGAAGCUAGGCAGGAAAUUGCCGCCACCUAAGAAUGCUACAAACACUGAAAUUAAAUCCAAAGGUAAUAAAGUGGAAGCUUUAUUAUCAGUACUAUUAUUAUUUUUCAUUAUUUUUCAUUCCUCCUGUUUAGUUAUUUAAAUUUUUAUUUCGCUGGAAAAUAUUGUUUCUGAAGAAGAAAGGUUAGAUCUUUUUGUUUAGCUGCCAAAAGCAAAUAAUAGAUGUAGCACUCCCUCUUAAUUAUCGAAAAGGAAAGUUAAUUUCUGUGUUUGUUAUCUGAAUGAAUUUUUCCAGAAAACUAUGCUUGAAGUGUAAUUACUUAAAAUUGCAGCUUGUUAGUAUAGAAUGUUUGACGAGAAGUCAAGAAUAAAGCCUCUAGGUUUCAUGUGUUCGCAAAUACUUUCUGCUAAGUUUAAUGGACCCUUUAUGUGCUGCUAUAUUUUCAGUUGUAAAUGGCCUUUUGUGAAGUAGCAUGACUCUUGAAAGUUAACUUGCAUAUAUUUUGGGCAGCAAUUGUUCUUCCUGAGCAGAGUGUGGCAUCAGAGAAAUCGGGUUUAGCUGUGAGUAAGAAAGGCUUGACUUUGAAAGAGCUUCUUCAACAAACCUCCCACCAUAAUGCAAAAAUUCGUAAAGGUAUUUCAUCAUUGCUAUCAAAAUAUUGAAUUAUUGUGAAAGGCCUCUCUUGAAGAGUUCAAGCUUGUGAGUAAUAUCAAACAAUAUAAUCCUUUGGUUACCAAGAAAUGUAGGAGAAAGGCAGUUGCAUGAUUCUCAUAGCUUGAGUUUUAAACAUUUAGUGAUUGGUUGGAGGGAGAAAACCACAUAUUAACAUAUGUUAUUUAACUUAGAGAGGAACUUAUAUUCUUGACCUCUGGGCAAGGAUUGGGUAAGGAAAUAUUGAAACUCUAGACUAAUAUUAUCAUUGGAUAUGUAUCAAAGGGGUUUAAAUGUUUCCAGUAGUGUAACUGAAUACUGUUUUCUCUUAUGGUUGAAAUUUACCUGCAUAUUUGUUUUUACUAUCUACAUGAUUCUUUUAUAUUCUUGUUGAAGUUUUUUAUUGUUUAAUUUUUUUGUCAUCAUGUGAGUCAGUUGUGCAUGUUAUUCAUAAAAUAUACAGGUUUCCAGUGCUUCUGUUAUUAGUUCAUGAAGCUUAGGUUGAACUUAUACAUUAGUGGAAGUUACUUGAAAAGUUGUCUCUAUAUUGAUUUUUAUUGUCUGUAUUUUAGCCCUUGCAUUUGUUAUUCUGUAUUCAGCGGCGAUCUUGAUGUUGAUAAGAGUUCUUGUUUAUUGUUUUUGGCUCCUUUAAAAGAUGCAUUGAUGGGCAUGAGGGAUUUAUUUGUCAAGCAUCCAGAAGAGCUGAAAUUGCACAAAUAUGCGGUUAUAGAAAAACUACGUGAACGCAUCAGUGAUGAUGAUAAAAUGGUUCGAGAAACCCUUUAUCAACUUCUUAAGUCAGUGAUUUUACCUGGAUGCAAAGAGGUGAUUCUUCAUUUUCUCUAUUGCUUGGAAGCUCAUAUUUGUAUUGGAUAUUUAAUUGGACAACUUCAGAUCUAUAAGGACAGUCUUUAUCAUUGGUACCAUAAAUGUUGUGUGGUGAUUUCUCUCAAUUCUUUGAAUUAUAAUUUUUUUUGUUGGGGAUGGGUUGGGUGGUGGGGUUGGGAUAACAUGUUUCCUUGUCUUUUAGUUAUCAACAAAAGAUGAGCCAACUGCAUUUGAUCGUUUUGUUAACGAUUAUUUGGCUUUGUUUUUGGGAAGCAUAUUAGCGUGUAUCACUUGUAGCUACUGUCUUCCAUUUCAAGUACUUGAUAUGGACUAUUAAAAUUCUUAUAUUACUUGAGACCUUGAAGAUGCUUGAAUACUUAGGGGACAUUUGGUUCAGCUGAUUCAUGUAAAAGAUAGUUGAUCUGAACCAAACAAUUAGGCUAGAGGUGUUUGGUAAGGAUUUUAAUCAACAUAGCAGCUCAUAGCUGAUACACGUUUCAAUCCGCUGCUAAUUCCAUUAAGUAUUUUGGAGUUUUUUCUUAUCACCUUUUAGCUGAUUUCUAUUUGUAUUAAUUUGGCUAUAUUAACAUUAUAAAAAUAAAUACUAAAAUUUUUUUAAAUUAAUAUUUUUAUAUGAUCAUUUUAUUCAUAAUUGUUUGAAAAUAAUAAAUAUCUAUUACAUAUUAUUAUAAAAUUUUAAUUAAUAAUUUUUUAUAUAUUUAACAUAUUAAAAUAGAAAAUAAGAAAUUUACUUAUAAAAAUAAAACAAAUUAUAUAUAAAAAUAAUUCUAUACUUAAUGGUCAUUUUGCAUUUUAAAAGCAACCACUUCUAAAAUCUUGCCAAACAACCAACAUUAAGACUACCAAUCACCAGCUAUCAGCCACUAGUUAUCAACAACUACUAUCAACAACUACUAUCAGCUGCUAGCUAGUCUGAAUAGCUAAACCAAACAGACUCUUAGAAUAUUGUUUGAUAGACUGUUGGAUAUCUGGUGCUCCUUUGGGGAAUGAAUUUCCAAGAAAAGGUUUAGACAGUGGGAUGUAGUAUGUACAUUUUGGCUUUUUGUUUAGCAGAUAUGAAUACAACCUUAGGUGAGAAUGAAGAUUAGUUGUUUCUAUUCAAUUCUAGACGUCACAUUCACCAAAGUCAAAACAAGAUUAUGUUUCAUAGUGUAUUUGUUUUCUUUCUUGUCACUGCAUUCACAAUUUGCGUAUAACAUUUGCCGCUCUGUUCCUUUACUAUUCAUUCUUUUCUCAUUUUAAUGAGACAUUCUAUCAAUAAUUACUGUUUUACUCUUUAUCAUCAUUAAAUUAUCUUUUGCUUUGACAGUUGUUUCUCUGCACUACUUGUCCAGGAUAAUCAAGGGCCUUUCAUUUCUUUAACGAUGGCAUACAUUUUUAAUGCAAUGACAAAUUUAGCAAUUGAAGUUCGGCUUAUGGCUUUCAAGUUUUUUGAUCUUGUUGUACAACAUUAUCCAGCUGCAUUUUCCAUGUAUGCUGAAAAGGUAUCUUACUUUGAAUUAUGAUAUUUAGACAUUUUGACUGCAUUGUUUAUCCUGCUAAUUUGAGAAUCUAUUUGGUUGAUGUUUGUUUGUAUUAUAAUUUAAGACUAAUUAAUUUUUGUAGCAGGUGAUGUUGCUUGUAUAAUGUUCUGAAUCCAAAUGUCAAACUUCUGUUACUAAUUUUUCAUUUUCUAAUAAAAGGACUUGAGGCCAUAAUAUUGUUGAAAUUGAAAAGGCAAAUGUGGUUUUGUACGUGGUACAUAAGUGUAUGAUAGUUGCUUGAAGGACAUCUUUUUUUCAAAUCUUUGGUAGAUUUCCUGGUUUUUCUAGAUAGAGACGAGGGUUUAGGUGAAGCAGUUUGUUGAUGCAGAAGUUCUAGGUUAUUUUACAGCAAAAGGUAAUGGUUUUAUAGCAAAAGAGAAUGGCAAUGGAUUGUCAAAAUAACCACACAGAUAAUCAAUUCUUAGAAAGAGUACUGGUGCAUUCAAACCCUCACAUUUUGUCAAAUGAAGUAAUUAUGAACUUUAGUUAAUAUGAUGUUUGCAACUGAUGUUAUUUCAUUCUGUUGUUCAUUAACAGGUUAUUCAAAAUUAUGGGGAUAUUCUACGGAAGAACCAGUUCUAUUUAGAAGACAAGGGCAAGCUCAAAAAUGUGCUUGCUGGUCUAGUCCGCUGCUUGUCUCUGUUGCCAUCUAAUAAAAUAGAAGCUGACCCAUUCGAGAAGGUGCCAUCUAGGAACAAUGGGAAAAUAGAAGUUCUUAAGCCUUUUGCUUUUUAAUUGUCCAUUGUUUUCUAAUAAUAUAUAUAUAUUUUUUUGUUUUAAAAAUGAUAGAAGGUUCCCAGGCAAGAAAUGCUGCAUGCUUUUGAGUCAGACAUGGCUACAGAAUAUGCUGGUAUUGCUUUGAAUCUUAAGCUUAAUUACAUGCUUUAUAAUGCUAUCAUUCUCUCUGCAAUUCAUGAUUUAUAUAUAUAUAUAUAUAUAUAUAUAUAUAUAUAUAUAUAUAUAAAAUAAACACACAUGCACAUGGUGAGUUUUGCAUUAGCUGUAAUGCCAGCAUUUGUACCAUUGAUGUGUGUUCUGUAUAAAUUUUUUCUUUUUAAAGUAUUGUUAGCUACUUUUUGUUUGUUAGCUUAUAUCAAUUAGCUUCCUGCUCUUGAGAAGAAAUUUACUGAUAGCUGAUUGUUAUACCUGAUAGCAUUCUACACAUUAAUGGUAUGAGGUGUGACCAUAGUCAUCCUCUCUUGUUUGUGUCAUAGUCCAAAUUUUAGAUGCUAAUGUGCCAAACCUUCUCUCUUUUUGUUUGUGUAGAGUUUUCUGUCAUCAUCAAUAAGCUAAAGGACUUUGUUCCAGUUUUAGUCAAUUGCUUCCAAGACUUUAUUCCGUUAAUUCAUAGUCUACCAAUGCUGGAUGUACAAUCAUUUGAUUGCAUGCAUAGCAUUCUUAGGAGCAUUGACCUUGUAAUCUGGUUUCUGGUUUACGAGACCAACAAGGAUAAUCCAGAAUCACAUCCUCCUAUGUUGGAUCAAAGCAUCUCAUCAACAUUACUGAAGAAGUUGCUAGGUGUAUUCCCAUUCAAUCCAGUGCAUCACCUUUCAGAAAAGGUAGGAAUUUACCAUUACUUUCAGUGUGUUUCUCCAUUAGUCUGUUCGGUUAAGAAGAAUGGUAAAAACUGACAGAAUUUAAAAAACGAACUCAAGAGGUUGAACAUACUGAAGGAUAAUUUGUUUUCCAUUUAUGGAUGGAUAAAAUAUGAUUAGCUUUUGGGGGGAAAAAUGAAUUGUCUUCACUAUUUUUUUAUUUGUUUCUUCUCAACUAAACAAAUGGAGAUAUAAUCCAUUCUUUUUCCACUGUGUGUUUCCUCCCUUUAAAACUUUGUUAAGUUUUUUUCUUUAGUAACUUGUCUUUCCUUUCUACAUGCACUCUUCUAGUAUGUCUCAAAUUCUGUAACUGUUCUUGCUUUUGUAGUACUCAACUUUUGUUUUCAAUUGCUUUGCAGGAUGAUGACAAAUACUUUAUAUUGAACGUAAUGAUUGCUGAAAUAUUUUUUAACUUAAGUGAACUGAUCUGCCCUCCUGCUGACUUACAAGAGAAAUUUCUUGCAUUUAUAGAGUAUGCACUGCUUAUAAAGGUUUGAUUCCUCACUAUCCCAGAUUUUAAUUAAAGUUGCAUCACUUUGAAAUAUUACUGUUAUGUUCAUUGAGAAAUCUUUGUCUCUUGGAAAUGUUAAUAUUAUUUUUUGAAUUUGACCCAAUCGAUCCUACUCCCUAAAAUUUAGGAAACUCAAAACUGAUUCAGCUUGUUAUACUGGUCUCUCCACUGCAGUAGUCCCAUGUUAAAGCAUUAUUACCUGCUUAAAUAACAAUAAGGCAAACUGUAAACCAAAAAACUGAAGCACAUAAUUGCAAAUAAGAAUUACUUUCAAAUAAGAAAGUAUUUGGAAUCUUAAAUAAUUUUACAUUUUCUCCUUAAAAUGGAAGAAUGCUGCCUGAAUUAAUUACUGGAGUUUCUAAUGUUUUCUUUCUAUUGUAUAAUUGAGGGAUCAUCAUAUAUGCUAUUCCUAAGUCUGAAUUGUGCAUUUGGUGAUUUAUUAACAUGUUUAUAUUUUUAUUAAUGUUUUCUGCAGAUUCGCAAUGACUCAAGGUCUGGCAGAGCAUUUAGAGAAAAGCAGAUACUUGCACUAGUUCCCUUUAUCCCAAAACUUGUAGCACAAGUGAUUGGCGAUUGGAAGUCUCGCCUUCUACAGGUUUGAAUUGUGCUUUCAGAAUAUUAUGGUAAUUAAAUUUCUCUAAUUGUGAGAUUGUAAUGCUGAUUAUGAGGAUAUUAAAGAAUCAAACCUCAAGUGCAGGCAUUUACAAAGACAUUCCUCGAUUACAAUCCAGAAUCUUCAGUAAAAUUGGCUUGCCUUUAUGCAAUUGAAAAAAUGAUUUUUCCUGUAAGUCCAACCCCUGGCUCUCAGAAAAGCUAGUUUCUUUCUCCUUAAUUACUCUUAUUAUUUGAAUCUGUACUUGGCAUUCCCGUAUGUAAGCCACUGAAUCUGUGUCCAUUUCCCUCUCCAAUCUAUUUUAUAAAAUUUUUAGAGAGAAGGAAUGCUCUACCCUGAUGAAAGUGAUUCAGAGCUACUGGAUCAUCAGAUUACUUGGAUAAGAGAGCUGCCUCUGUUGUUAAUCAUGCUGGGUGAUAGGCAGUCAACCUCUUCCCAGGUACUUAUACAAGUUACAGUGAUUUUCACGCAUUUUCCCUAUACUUGCCAUCUGUAACAUUUCCUGGAAACACUUGAGUAACUCUAUCAAAGCAAUCAUCCUUGUAGGUUGUGUUGCAUCUUCUGCUUCGCGUGGCUCAAUGUGCUAUGAAGAACUCUUUGCUUGCAUUGGAAUAUGAUGACAUGCAAUACCGUCUGCAAGAGUUCUUCAGCAUAUGUGAAGAAGGUUAGUCCUGAUUUCUUGACAAUUUCAUGUUGGUUACAUGUCCAUCUGAGCUCAACUAAAUGUUUCCUCAUUGUACUCAUUUGUGUUUAUCAGGGAAUAUAUGCUAUGGUCCUUUCAUAAAGCUUCCAAGAGAGACUCAAGAACUCUCCAUCUGUUGUCUUUAUUAUUUCUCUCACUUGGAUUCACUUCUUUUGAAGUCCAUAGCUUCUUGUUGCCUCUGUGAGUAUUACUUGUCAAUUUUUUUGAAAGUAUUACCUAAUCUGUGCCGGUGUCCCUGGUACUGAGGCUUUGAGGAAUUCACACAAAAUAGAUGAUUAGCUGCAUUUUUGAGGUGUGGUGCUUUUAUAUUAAUUAAAUUCAUAUUUGAUGUUCAUGGUCCUUCCAAGUUAAUUAUUGACAACUUUCCUGCAAAUGCUGCAAGAAAUCUCACCUCUAUGAAUGCAUGCGUCUUUUUCAUUACUUAGCAAAAAUCAUCUCUUCAAGGCACAAGACAGUUCAUUCUGUAGAUCGUAAAAUGAACAAUUGAUCCUGGACGAAACCUGAACAAAAUGCCCAUUUAAAUUUUAAAAUAUUGAAAGAGAAGUUAUUUUUGAGUUUAUCUUUUAUAACAAUCAUGGAAGACAUUUUUGCACCUUGAGAAUAAGGUUCCCCUGGAAGUUGAACACAGUCAUUACCUCACCCCAGUUGGUAUUUUACUUUUAGGAACAUCUGGGCUGUUUGAUGUCAUAGUCCAAUCACUUUCUUAGUAAAUUUUCUUACUAGUUUACAGUAUGCCAUGGCAUUAAAGUAGGGCAACAUACUAGCAAAGGAGAAUACUAAUUCAUUUUUACUGGCUGUGGUGGAACUUAAUGUUUUCUGAUCUUCUUUUCCUAUAUUGCAGGUCAUGAGUUAGAUUCAUUUGUAUUAUUUCGGAUCAUAGAAGUUUUGCAUUCUGCCUUUAAAGCUGGCCAUAUUCAGAUUACUGACCAUAUCAGUUUUUUCAUCACUUUGGUCUCCUGUUUCAGUGUUUUUCCAGGUAAGUUGAAUUAGUUCUUUAUUGUCUAGAAAAUCUGAUCAAUUAUUUUAGCUAGUUUCUAUCUGAAAAUAUGUUCAUGUCUGCAGAAAAUACUUCCCCUGCAAUGAAUGAAGAUACAAGGAUAUCAAAUCGUAGAACUUUUAAGUUGUUGACCAGUGUUGUUUGUUCAUGCCUGUCGCAGAUGGGUGAUAAAACUCUAGUUUUUUUUAUACUGGAGAAAGUUAUACUAGAGCAGUUCGUAAGUUCGUUAAAUUAGUCACAUUUUAUUUCAUGUCACAAUUUUCUUUACACUGGCUUACUGUACAUACUUAUAUUCUGAGACUUUAAUUUUGAUAAAUUCUUUGUUUUUUCUUUAAAAAAAAAAAAAAAUCUUACGGGGUCCUUAAAAGUUCCUUACAACCAUUAGGACUUAUAUUGAUAUAAUGGUUCAUAUUUCAGUUAUUAAAGCCACAUCUGGAGAAUGCCUGUGCUAUGCUGAGGAUGCUUGUUGCAUUAGACUCCAGGCCCACCAGACUUUCUGAUCAAAGUAUCAUCACUUUGAGUGAUUUCCUUUCAGGAUAUCUUAUUGAUGUUGUGCAUGUAAGUAUCUCUGUUUCAAAUUAACAUCUGUCCUCUAAUGAUUGUUCUUUUUUUGGCAAGAUGUCUCUUUUUAUGCGAAGUUUUGAUAUGCAUAACAGUUUUUUUUUUUUUUUUCCUCUUUAGACUUUAGAGCUGGAUGCUUAUACUUGCAUUAAUAAAAAGGAAAACCUUGCAAGUUGUCAUUAGAUGGUGGCUCUGUGCUGUUUCAGCAUGCAUUAAGCUGAUAAAAAUUAUUAUGAAAUAAAUCUGAAAGGUAGGAAAAGCUGAUGAUAAAAGUGAACAGCAGAUGCAGAUAGUUUGCAUCUCUGGGGCCAUUCAGAAUGAAAAUAAUGUUGUCAGUGAGUUAUAACUUUUUAUAAAUUGAUGCGAUUCUUAGCCUUUGUUUGGAUGGGGGUAUUUUUUUGAAGGGAGAAAAAUAGGCAUGGAAAGUAUCUAGAGAAAGGUGUUUUUCAUUAUUUGGGAAAGGGGAGAAAAAUAUUAAAGAAGUAAUGUUUCACUUAUUUUCCACCCAGGCCACAUAUUUCGAAUUUCUCCAAUUUAGAGAGAAAAUAAUGAAGACAAAUGAAAAGUUCACUUAUUUUUAUUAAAUUAUCCAAAUAUUCCAAAAUAACUAGAAUCACAUUUUAUUAUUUAAAAUUUAAAUAAGCGCAUAAUUGUCAAUUUCCAAUAACAACAUUAUCUUUCCUUCAAAAUUUUGCCCUUUCCAAACAUAGUAAAGCAAAUUUAUUUUCUUUUCUUCAUUAAUUCAAACACAAGGGUGAAAAAUAACUAUAGGAAAGGAAAUGACAAUUUCUCAUUAUUUUUCUCCAUUGUUUUCCUUCCUCUCAUUUCCAAACAAAGCGUAAGUAUUCUAAAACACCUGGGAACAUUGUUGCAUAGUCAACCUCAAGCAUUAGCUAGCCCUUCUGACCCUUCUAUGACCACAGACCUUUCGUUGCAUUCAUUUUGCGAUUUCACAUUUUAUUUGCGUUUUCCCUCCUCUUUUUCUUUUUCUGACACCUGGUGAUUUAUCAAUGAAUUACCAAAAAUUUCAUAAGCUGCAUGGGUAGAGAUGGAAAAUUUAUUUACUCAGACAUGUUAAUUUCAAAACUUGUGACCAAGAAGGCUCAACUAGUGCUAACAGUUAGUCAUAAUCAAAUAUCUUGGCAUCUAAUUUAAUUUUCUCUGUGUAACGGGAUAAUUUUUAUGCUGGAUUUUGAAAUUGAGAUUAAGCUUGCUGUUUUAACCUAAAUUUCUGUCGUUAAGACUUCAGUUGGAUGUCAGGUGCAUACCCAUCUCACUAGGACAUGUUCAUUUCUUGUACAUUUUUCCUCCAUUAUUAUAUAUAGAGAGUUAUGUGAAAAAAAUACCCGGUACCGUUCUGGAUGCCUGAUGUAUGUAUGAAAUGCACAGAAGAGAAUAGUGGGAAAUACUAAAUUAGCAGGGACCCAGGCUAUGGUUUUCUAAAUGAUUUUAGGUAAAUGUUAUCUUUUGGUCUUUCUUUCUUUCUUUCUUUCUUUUUUUAUAAAAAAAACAGAGAGAAAAAGAGGGUCUAUUUUCCCUUAACUUUUUGCUUACUAUGUUGUCCUUUUGGUGCAUCAAUUCCGUGUGAUUCAUCAUGAAAUUAUUUUUGCUUUCUUGCAGUGUGUUCCAGGAGAUGAUGAGGAGUCAAUGGGCUCUGUUCAUGUAUUAACACGGGGUUACUAUAUUCUGCCUUGUUUUUUCUUGUUUGAUAGAAGUCCCAAGCUCUUGAAUCUGGUGCUGGAUGUGAUGAGCUCAUCGAUAACUCAAAGUAGUUCACUUUCAUCUAGUGGUCAUACUCGUUAUACUAGGAGUUACUCGAGUAGGAUUAAUGCUAUUGUUUCAAUCCUAUUAUUGAUGCACAAGGAUGCUAAAAUGCAGCAAAUUAUUUCCUCAGCGAGGGCCGAGAUUGACCUUAUUUCAGAAAACAUAUGCUCUUUACAGGUACAGAUUUUGCUCAAACGUACCGCUUAAUUGUUUGAAGUUAGCAGGUGCUAGGUCUAUGUGAUACAGUUUUAAUCUGCACUUUAUUGCAUCUCUUGUUACUGUUUUGCAGUCUUCUGAGGAAAGCAAUCUGGACAUCGGAGAAAGGCAUAGAAUACAAAGAGCAUUAGACCAACUAAAGGCACUGACAACUUCAUUACCUCGGGAGACGCAAACAGCAUAGCAAGAUGUAUUGCCCUGAUUUAUUGUACCUCCACACUUUGCAAUGGCAUGCAUGCCUACAGUUUUGAGUUAGCUAAUAUAGAUGAUUCUAAGGUGAAAAUGUUCUCUUCAUUUACGCGUGAAUAUCACUUAUAAAAUGCAGAAAAUAUAAGGACAAAUUCUUCAUCAAUGAGAUGUGGGAAAGCCGCUUUUUCUUCUCUCACUUUACUCAUGAUUUUUGCAAAUUAGGGUUUUAAGAUUAGUGGGUACAUUUGAGUUUGGGCACAAACCAAACCAAGCAAGAGUUUCUGAUUUUGGGUUUGAAUGGGUAGAAUUAGGGAAUAAAGGUAUGGUUCAUUGUUUUAUUUUAUUUAAUUUUGUAUAUCAGUAUGUAUAUCUACUGGACAAAAAAAUUUACUGUUUCUUCAAUAUGGUGAUCGAUCCGUAAAGAGAUAGAUGGAUAAAGAUAGAAUAGAAGUGAGUAGAGCCAGCGAGAGGAGUAAACCAAAGGAAAUUGAGUCAAAAGGUCCUAUUAUCGUUCUAUGCAUAUUUGAUUAUUUUUAUUUUUUAAGGGUUAGGGUUAUGAUAUCUUUUAACAGCAGCAAAUGUUAAUAUCAAAGGAAAGAUUAUUUGUGAAAUUGGGAAAAAAAAUUCCAAACAUUAACCUUGAUCUAACUUUCAAAUUUGAUAUUGUAAGGAUUUUGAAAUUAAAUUGCAUGUAGCUCGUAAAUUUCUUGAAUUUAAUUAAAUUUUUUUUAUAUAUAAUUAUAAAAUUGAGGUUAAAUUAAAAUUAUAUGAUUCAGUUGGGCUUUUAAAAUGAUUCGAAACGAAUAAAUAAAUUUUAUUUAAAUAUAGUACUAUUAUACUUAUUGUUACCUUUUAUUAUUUUUAAUUUUUUUAAUUUCAUGAUAUUUCUAUCGUUCGAAUAAAUAAAAUAUUCAAAUUUAAGUUCUAUUUUAAAUGAAAAACUUCCACUUUCUUCAUGAGAAGCAUUCAUAGUAGAAAAUCCAAAAAGAAAAAAUCAUUAAAUAUUAUUCUUAAUUAAUGUUAAUUUCAUAUUAUUAUUACUAUUUCUCAGCCAUUAAAAUCAGAAUUUGGCGGGAAAUUAAACUUUUCAUUCUUGUUGCCGCUAAAAUAAAUUUGCGCCGAAGGGCUAAAAUCGCGAAAAUAUACGUGAAGAAACCAAAUGGGUUCUAACGGAGAGAAGAAGACGGGAAUUCAAUGAAUAAAUGCAGUCCAAAAUAAGUUUCUUCUUUAAGCCAUCCACAUCGUCGUCUUCUGCAAAGCCCGUUCAGAGUCCUGCUCCGAUUUGUCGCGAAGGUGACGAUGAAUUGGCGCUUUGGGAGAAUACUAAACACGAAUUUAUCAGUACUUACAAGCGUAGAGCUCCAAAAUCAGACGACAGGUACGAAAUUUCUUUCAUAUAAUCUCCUUCUUGUUUCUCUUUUUUCGGUUUUGAUUGGGAUUGGGAAGCUGCUUUUUUUUUUUUUUUUUUUCUUUUGUUUUUGAACUUUCAUUUUUAAUAGUUUGAUUUAUAUCUCAGUUUGGAUUCUGUUUGUUCGAUGAGAAACCUUAGGAAAGGAAAAGAAAAGAAAGCUUUCCCUUAUUCAAUCGAGCAAAUUAUACAGCUUGUCACAACAUUUAUCAUAAACCAAAUACGUCUUUUACUUGUUAGUUGAAAUUUUUUUUUUUUGGUCAAAUUUAGGGACAAGACGAUUGAAGCCAAUGAAGAUACAAUAACAAAACCAAUUUCAAGGGAUCUGAGUUUGAAACCAGAAUUAUUGAGUUUUGGGAAAGUUCUCAACAAGAAGAGAAACUACGCACAGUUUUAUUUGGACUUGGGUCAAUCUGAUUUCAAUCUCCGUACAUGUUCGAUAUGUGGGGUGAAAUAUGCCCCGGGGGAAGAAGGAGAUGAGAAGGAACAUAAAACAUUUCACAGGAAUUACACUCAUGGAGUUCAAUUCAAGGUAUAUUUGUAGACACUACAGCGGCUAAUUGAGUUUAUUUUGUUCUGUCUUCAUGAUUGAUCUAUUAUACAUGUGAAUUCUAUAGGGGUUCCAGAAUGAAAGGGUUGUUGAUAUACCUUGCAAUGAAGGGGGGCGCAUUGUUUUGGUUUUAGAUAGUGACUCUGCUGCUCAGAGGAAUAAGGUUUGCAUUUUGUCUUUCAAUUUCUCGAAUUUGGUUUUUAUGUUUUUCAAAAGAUAAAAAUUGUCGUGAAAUAGUUUUGAAGUACUUGAUACCUAUGCCUUAAGUGCAUACAGGUCCACAUGUUAAUUGGGAUGCUACUGUUUUGACAGGUACAGGAGGUUGUAAAGAUGAUGGAAAUUGAGCUUGGAGGUGGAUGGAUUUUUCGUAAGCUCUGCAAGGUAACAGAUUUGUUGAGAACUAUUAAAUUGCGACCAAUUUCUAAGCUUUUUUUUUUUUUUUUUUUCAUUUGUUAAUUUUUCUCCCAUUUAGGAUCUAUUUCAACCCCAGAAACAAUUUCAGUACAACUAAAUCAUAGUUCAUUAGCCUUUGUUUUAAAGGUUUUAAUUCUGGCUUCUUCAUAAUGCUUUGAAUUAGAAAAUUCCAUAUACCUGGUGUUUGGAGUAUAUUAGAAUUACAAUCCAAAAUCUUAUCGUGCGGUUUUGCUUUUUCACUUAUGCUUUGAUAAAUUUUGGUUUCCUAUCCUUUUUUCGUCUUUUGGAAGCAUGACAAGUCUUGAUUUUCUUUCUUUGCAAUCUUUCUGACCCUGAAGUUUGUAGGCAUAUCUUUUCAUCUGUUCCCACAGAGUCGCUGGUUGUUUAGUUGCUGAACCAAUACAAGAAGCGUUCAAAGUCCUUCCGCCUUCAGUAGAUAGAAGAUCUAAUAAUGCUACUAAAAAGGAUUCAAAAUCAAAAUGUACCACUCUCCAAUUUGGGGAUAUUAUCUUGCACAGAGAAAUAACAAAGAAAAUACCAUCUGUAAACUCUCUUGAAGUAUUGGAUAGGAACAGCAAUGGAGCUAUUGUCUGUGAAGAGGAAGCUACACCUGCUAUUUGUGGCAUUAGAGCAGUCUGGGUCACUCCGUCCAACAGAAGAAAACGCAUUGCCAGUCAGUUACUGGAUGCUGUGAGGUAAAUUAGCAAGCUUCAACUCUUUUUACAAUUCUGAUAAUUUCAAAUGUAAUUCUCUUAUACGCCGUGUUAGAACUGAGUUUAGUGUUUAUUAUUAGUCUUCCACAUAUGAGCAUUAGAUAUGUCUAAGUAGUCAAUUUCUAAUUCCUUGUUCAGUUACAAUUUCAACUUUAGAUUUUAAAAUCAAUAAACAAACCAUUGAUAUGAACUCCAAUAGAGGUUAUAAUUUUUCAGAAAUCCACUAGCAAAUAAUUGGUCUUCAUAUGAGCUUAUGUGUUACCAUUUCAAAACUUGAUAAAACAAAGAAAGUGUGAAAACAAUAAACUUACAGGUCUUGACUUUAUGAACGAAUGAGUGAAUACAUUUGUCUUGUCACUUCUAGCACUACUUUGGCGGAAUUGUCGGUCUGGCUCUUACAAUUCUGGUUCAAAAAAUUAACAUUUCACUUGUGUUUCUAUGGAAUGCAGGAGAAGUUUUUGCAUGGGUUUUACUCUUGAACAAUCCCAGAUUGCAUUUUCACCACCAACCUCAGCUGGAAAGGGAUUGGCAUCCAGUUUUACUGGCACUGCAUCUUUCAUGGUAUACAAGCCCAUUGCUUUAGACGGUUGAAUGCUCUCAUUUUAGCCCUCUUUGCAUUACCCGUUGUGGUUUGGCAUAUAAGUGAGUUAGAAAAUAAUAAUAUGCUUUAAUUGCACACUAAUUGAUGGAUUAAAAAAAAAAAAAAAAAAAAAGAUGGUAUGUGAAUUUUGUUUUUCUUCACCUAGUCAACAAUUAGUUGUGGCAUGUUUAUGUGUUCACUUUAUCCUCGUCUCCAUUGAAAUUUGUAUCCAAUUGUGGUAAUGUAUCCCUACUUACUAUUGGUAGAAAAAGAAAGAAUCUUUCUUAAGGUUUCAAGAAGUUGAACUUUUUGAGAUGUUUAUUUUGCAAGAAGUAAACUCAAAAGGUUGAAUCCGUUGAGAAAUAGGUAGAAUUGCUUUGUUUUUCUUUUCCUUUUUUUUUUUUAUUUUACAAGAAAGAACAGAUUCAAAUUUUUCAGCAUUGAAGAAGCAAUGCAUUAGGAAUUUAAAUGUUUAAUUUCUUGAGUGGAAAUAGAAUAAAAUUACUUGAAAUGAUAAUAUUUCUAACCUAAAAGAAAGGAACAAUAUCAUAUUUUUCAAUGUACUUUUAACCUAAAAAAAAGAUUUAUGAACUUAAAAAGAAAAUUAUGAACUGAAACUACGCAAAUUCAAAAUUAAUAACCUAUCAACAAAUGUCAAUUUCCGAUACGCACAUUAGAGCCAAAUGAACCUUACAUUUUGAGGGAUGUUAGGGUAAAAACAGAUACAAAUGAUUCACAAAUCAAUUAUUCAAACUUCAGGUUUCAACGUCUCAUCAAUAAGCUUUCAAAUGAUCAUCUCUUGAUCAUGUAAACUUUAAUCAAGAUCAUUAAAAAAGAAGCAUGUUUCGAUUCUGCUUUAUUUCAUCUGUAAAUAGAGACCGGUAAUCUAAUCAUCCACAUGAUUGAACAAGUUGCAUAGAAGAUUCUUAUAUACGCGGCUAAAUUGAAUACAAAACCUGGCAAAGCACCAAAAAGAAAAAGGCUUUUUGCUAUGCUAUCAAUGAGAUUUACUAAAUGAACAUUUUGACGCGGGUUUACGAUAGGGAGGACUUUAUAUGCAUUUUGGCGUUAGUUUCAUUUUGAGCAGAGUAAUUCCCUUCAUCUUCAUCUCCCUGAAGAUAUGGACCAAAUAGCUUCAUAACUUGUUCAUAAACAGGUUUCUUGAAAUCCACAGCCUGUUUAACCAAACAAAAUAAGUAUCUACCUACAAAUAUAGAACUUACAGCAAGUUUUUUAUCCAGUAAGGUUUUACUCACAAGCUCUACUACUCGCUCCGGUAACAUCCAUGACCAGUCCUUGAAUUCUGGCUUUUCAGAUCCAUCUCCCAAAAGGUUGAUCUCUUCCUCCUUACCAGUAAACUUAAAUAGAAACCUGUUAUUAUUUAAAAAAUUGUUUGCAUAAGGCAAUGUUUAGAUCAAGAAAAAGAAGUAUGAAACUAAACAUUAAUGGGCAGAACCAACUCCAUAUUUGCAAUUCUUUUAACAUGAGAAAUUAUUCGAUCUUGCUUAAUGAUUUCCCUAAAUUGUAAAUACCAAGACAGUUUCCCUAAAUUGUAAAUACCUCCCUAAAUUGUAAACACCAAGACAGUUUCCCUAAAUUGUAAAUAGCCCUGCUUAUGAAUUCAAUUAACAGAAUUCUGCAUAUCGAAACUAAAUUUUAUAUAAAAUCUAUAUCUCAAAUUCAUUUAUACCAACCAAGUGCUAAGGUAAAUGACAAAGAAAGAAUACAACUUUUAACAAUAAGCAAAGUCCAUUUGUAAAGCAGAAUAAACAAAAUUCUGGGAACAAGUACACAAUGGCCGGAACAGGAGAUAAUCACAAAAUCAGGUUAUACAACACCCUGCAUAAUAACAAAUAAGCCCCCCAUUUCCCUACAAACAAUUCCCUGAAAUUGGAUGUUUUAAACCAUUACAAAUCAUAGCCAACCGAUAAUUAACAGCAGAAAAUACAGCAAACAUAAGGAAGACAACGGCAUGAGCUUGAAUUGAUGAUAGAUACGAUGAAUAAUAAUAAAGUAGCUAAAACACACUAGAUAGACCAUUUCAAUGUUAUUGCUUUUUGAGAGAGAAUUUGCUCACCAUUUCUGUGCUUGACCUUUGUAAUUUGUACCCCAUCUGCGAUUAAGUCUCUCUCUAACUUGAAGUGGGAAGUCAUAAGUUAGCCAGUAUGGAGCCUGUAAAUACAAAAUCAAUAUCAGCUGAAUAAUAUAUGAAGUAAACAUGUCUUUCCAUUCUCUAACAUGUUCUGCAUGACACAAAAUAGUGCAUGUCAAGACAAUUAGCAUUCAAGUAGGCAAACCGAAAAUAACAAGCUAAAUACCUCGGCGAGAAGCUCUGCAGAAGUAACUCCUGUUUCUUCCCUCAAUUCUCUCAUCGCUGCAUUUAUAAGGUCCUCACCUUCAUCAGCACCCCCCUGUUAAAUACAAGCCCAUGAGGCCAUAGUAAUACAAAUCCUUCUUAUAUGUUAUUUUAUCUCUUCAAGCUCCUCUCAUCCCUUAAUAUGGAAACAACUCAAACGAAACCCUACUCAUAUUAACAAGCAAAUACUUAAAUUAAAUAGAAUUCAAAAUUGCUACUCCAUUAAUUUCCCAUCAAUUCAACGAAAACAAGCUACCAGUAUCUUUUCCAAUGCCAAUUAUUGAAAGCUAUAUCUGAAGCUAAAAUCGAAUUUAAACAAAACCCAUAAAAGAACUGAAUCUACCUGAGGCAUUUGCCAAGUGUCUGGUAUGUUUAUCCUCGAAGCUGUAAAGAUCUACAAAUUAAACCCAAAAAUUACCUAAUUAACGAACCCAAACAACUCAUUUCAUAUGUAAAAACAAAAAUUCGCCUCAAAUUUCUAACCUGUUUAGAGGGAUUAACGAGACAUAUCCCUACAUUUCUUCUAUACCCUUGAGGAGGCGAUUCCAUUGAUAAGGCUGUUAGAGAUAACGAAGCAGACACCUUCCAGGGUUUAUUCUUCAACGUCAACAAUGGUACGGGCGCAAAUUCGCCAAACUUUGAAGGGCAGUUUCGACCUGAGAACCGAUAAACUUGGGGAUUUCGUAGAAACUCACACGACCCCAUCGCGACGCGUCGUUUUUGCGGUUUCUGGUAACUUACUUGGUCCCCAAGUCAGUAUAUAAACCGUUUUGAGAAAAAACUACAUGCUUUCCUCUCACGCUCUCUGGUUAUUAAUUUCCAUUAUUCCCAAAAUACCCCAACCGCCUUUCUGUAUUUACCAUGUCAUCCCUCUGUUGCCUAAAGGGCAAAGGCUAAACCCCGCCAUUUAUAUAUAAGCCCCUCUCCUCUGUUUUCACUUGACAGCCAAUUCUCUUCGUUUUCAUGUACUCAAAACCCCCAAAUUUCACCUAAUCCGUGACGUCAUCUUGCCGGAAUCGGGCGUGAAUAAUGAUGGAGGAGGAGUUUGUGACGGCUAAGUCCAUGGGGUCUUCAUUUUCGGUGGUAUUCUACGACGGCGAGCAGGAGACUAGCCUUGGCAACGUCGUCGUUUCACCUUCCUUGAAUUUCAAAGCUUUUCAAUCGACUAUUAGCGAGAAACUCGGUUUGUCUCCUCACCAGUUCUCUAUUUACAUGACGGACCAGAAUAGGCGUGGCUCCAGAAUCCCUGUGACCGGAAAGAUUGAUUUCUCAGCGGUUUCUCGCGAGAAGGAUUGUUUCUUUCUCGUGGUUCUUAAGCGAUCGAGGCGCGAGAGGAGGCGAAAAAGCCGCGAAGUUGCCGAAAUUAUGCAGAACAACCACCGGUUCGAUCCACCGGCGAAUAUGAUGCUCUUAAGGCGAGACGGUAAUACUAUUGCAAUCAACACUAACGAGUUUUCAGGUGUUGAUUUGGGUCGGGCCGGGUACGAAAGACGGGUCAAGGAGUUGCAAAUGGAGAAAGAAAGGUACUUGAUGAAUAUGGGUUUGGGUUCGGGUAUGGUCUAUGAAGGGCUGAGUUUGGGAUCAGAAAGAGUUAAUAAUAGAACAGUAGUUUGUGACGAAUGCUUGAUGGCUAAAGUGAUGGGUAGAGAUGUUGGAUUCCAUUGGUGUGUUAACGACACUGUCACUUUCGGAUUCAGAUCGCCGGCGGGCCCGAUUGCCCGGCCAAUUAAAGGAUCCGAUUGAGAAUUUUUUUUGUUUUGAUUGAGGAUUUACUUCUGUGAAUAGCAGAAAAAAAAAAAAAAAAACAAGAGAAGAGGAAGGUGAGAUGAUUUGGUGUGGUAUAGUGUACGGUAAGGAAGGGUGUACCUUACUACACAAAGUACAUGAAAAUAUAUACUGAAUCUGACCCUUAAUAAGUUAGAUUAAGGGGUAUAGUAAUGAAGGUGUAUUGGUAUAUACGAAGGACAUUUUGUGCCUCCAAAGAAGUAGGGAUUCUGCUUUUGGCUACAUAAAACAAAAUACAAUUGGGUUGUGAAUUGUUAAAAUGGAGAAGGUGACAUUUGAUUUUAGGUUUUGGGUUUUUCUUGGAAUCUGGCUUCCAAUUGAAGAAGAAAAAGAAAGAGUGGCAAUUGAUGGUAGGUGCUUUUUGGUUAAGCUUUCAAGUAUUGCUAAAAGGAUAUUUUGGUAUCAAAGAGGGCAUUAUUGAUGUUUGAUUGAAAAAUGAAAAGAGAACUAUUCCUUUCUUUUUCUUUUUUUCUUCUUUUCUUUGGUUGUGUUUUUUAUUUUAAGGCCAAGGCCUUUUUGUCUUUGGGCAUGUGAAGUGUGAAGUGAAGCUGCUUAGCUUUAAUUUGUAUUUCCAAUGCAAUAGUACUCAAUUGGGGACAUUUAUUAAAAGGAAAAUAGCAUUAGUAGUACCAUCCUGCUUAACAGUUGUGACAAAUAAAAUGGGUUCUUCCUAGCUGUUUAUCAACUUGUUGUGAAUCAAUUUAUAUUUUAAUGUCAAUGUAAUUGUUAGGGCCAAUUAUGAUAUGAAGGUUUUAAGUUGGGGGUUGCUACUCUGCCUUUAGGGGAAAGUAAGAAGACUUUUACCUUGACUUAGAAAAAAAUUACCACUUUUUAUAAAAUAUUAAAACAUUUUACAGAACAUUGAAAUUUGAAUUCAUUGUUUUGUAAUUCAGCAAUUUUAAAAAAAUCACUUAUUACAAAAUAUUGCAAAAUAUUAGAAAAUAUUGAUAAAAAAGCUAUAAUUUUGUAACUCAUCAUUUGAAAAAAAAACAAACAACUAUCUUUUAUGAAAUAUUAUAAAAUAAUGGUAACUGUGGCAAUCGGGGAUUAUUUGUAAACCACUAACUUUUCAUUAAAAAAAAGGGGUCACAUUUUACAACAUAUUAAAAAGUAUUAUAAAAUAUUGACAAUUGAAGUUAGUAUUUUGAAAUCCCACGAUUUUGACAAAAAAAAAAAAAAAAAAUCACUUAUUACAAAAUAUCAUGAAGUAUUAUAAAAUAUUGGCAGUUGGAGCUAUUAUUUUGUAAUUUGACAAUUUAAAAAAAAAUAACUUUUUUAUAAAUUAUUGAGAAUUAUACAAAAUAUUGGUAAUUGGAGCUAUUAUUUGUAAUCCAAUAACUUUACAAAAAAUAGUCAUUUUUUACAAGAUAUUUUAAAAUAUUACAAUAUAUUUUUGUAAUCGUGCUUAUUAUUUUGUAAAUUGUCACUCUUUACAAUAAACAUCCAUAAAAACUUGAUUGCCUUGAUUUUCCUUCAAGGCAUUAUAGAAAAUGCCUUUAUGUUGUCUUCCAAGAAAUGAUCUACUCCAUUCUCAAUCGAUUAACGUUCUCUCUUGCCCAUAUCUUAUAUCUUGAAGGCAGCAAUCAUUUUUUUUUUUUUUUUUUUGUCUUGUAUUAUUUAUUACUCCCUCCAAUUCAUUUAUUUGAACUGAAAUUGCCAGAAAUUGUUCAUAAAUUAAGAAAUGGCAGUUUUUUUUUUGCUGAAAUUUUUUUUUUUUUUUUUUUUUUUUUUUUCUCAUUUGCCCCCAACAUUGCAUUAACUACAUCUUUUUUUUCUUUUGAAGUCAACUAUCUCACGCUGAUUUCAUCCAACAAAAGGCAUUUAAUGUUUUUAAUCCAAAAUUAACAUAUUGAAUGGAGGAAAAUUACCACAUUGCCCAUGAUUGAAAUUAACUUCCUAUUUUGCUUUUGCAGGGAAAUUUGAACUGAAUUGUUAACUUUACAUAUGUGCAUAUUUGAUAAUGAAAAUAUGAAAAAAUUUUGAUUUUGGGGUCAAAGUUUUACCGUCUCCUCAAUUCCUUCACAAAUGGCUUUAUAUAAAUAAUAACAUUUCAGACUGAAGUUUUUUUUACAUUGUGUAAAAUAAAAAAUAAAAAUCACUUUCUAAAUAUGUUCAUUGUAUACGUUCGACCUUAACGUUCUAUCUUCCAUUUCACCCCUCUGAUUCUAAAAAUGUUCAUUAUCCUUCAAAAAGUCUUAUGGAUAUUUGAUCAUAUACCAUCUUCCUAGUACAUGUAGUUGGAUUGUACCAAUUCAAUGCUGAAAAUUUUGGCGAUCCAUAAUGUAUUUUUCAAUAAAAGACAAAAAGAGAAUUAAACAAAAAACAUUAGCAAAGGGCUUUUUUUAAUAACGAAUAUGCUAUUAUCUAAUAUGUAAGAAGUGUGUGAGAUGAAUGCAAUAUUUCAAGUUACGCGCAGUUGAUAGCGCCCAUAAAAUGAACUUUUCGUACAGAGAGAAAAAUUGAUAAUAACUUUGCAUUGGUAACCCAAGUACUUUCAAUGCAUUAGAUGUAUUUUGUGCAUCGCUUUCUUGUUAUUUGCAUGUAUUAAUGCCUGUAAAUAAAGCUAAAUAAAGGGUAAUAUGGACUUUGUACUUUAGCAUUAUUCCAAAUUCAAUAAAUUAUCUAUUUAAAUGAAAUACAUUAAUUAGAAAUUUUGUCCAAAUAAAUAAAUUAGAGAGAGUAUGAUUAUUUUACUCUUUGUAUUAGUUUUAACUAUAGUUUCUCCUUAAAUAUGAGUUAGUGAUCAACUUACGGUUGGUUUGAUUUAACCUGAACUAAAUCAAUCCAAAUUAUAUAAAUUGAAAUCUUUUAAGAUUAAUAUUAAAUUGAUUAGUAUUUAAAAUUAUAUUGAAUUAAAUCAUAUUGAUUUGGUUUUGUCAAUUUUUAGCCUUUUUUUUUCCGACGAAUUUAAGUUUAUUUUAGACUUAGUGAAAAUCAAAUCAAAUUAGAUAAAGAAAAUUUUUUUAUAUUAAAAUCAAAUUCAGACUGAAGUUAUCGCAAAUCGAACUGGAUCAAAUUAAUUUGGUUCCAUGAUUUAUAUUGAACUAAGCUUAGCCGGAGAUAUAAGGCGCAAGCUUUGCUUCUCCUUUUAGAUCGAAGGCUUUUGCUUCUCACUUUGAUAGAGAUAUGUUGCUCUCGAGAUGAGGAUUGUGCAUUGGCUCUUUCUACAAAAAUUCAAGUUUCUAUAGCUCCUUCAGAAUGACCUUUUGGUUCUUCAAUGAUGGGUAUGAUCAAGGUUUUUAAACUUGAUUUGAACAAAAGGCGGGUAUUGAUCAGAAAACUUCUUCAGCGGGAUCGAGAUGGUAUGUCAGUGGAGGAAUAUGAUGCUUUACGAACAUAAUGGAAUAUGAUUCUUGACACCGAUGAUCUGCAGCGUAGACAGCAGGCUAAGAUUUUUUAGGCUCAGUAUGGAGAUAAAAAUUCCAAAUUUUUUCAUGCAAACAUUAAGGGUCGACACAGGUAGAACAAUAUUUUGGGGUUAUAGUCAGAUGUAGGGAAUUAUGUUCAAGACAAGAAGGGUAUCCUUUGGCUGAUAUUUGAUUAUUUUCAUUGAUUAUUUGUUUCUGGGAACUCCAAUCCAGAUGGAUUAUGGGACUGGUUAAUAAAAGAGUUACGGUUCAGGAUAAUGAACUAUUAUUAGCCCCUUUUACUGCGGAGGAGUUUCGCACGGCUGUGUUUCAAAUGCAUCCAAAUAAGGCUAUAGGAUCUGAUGGCCUAAAUCCUGUAUUUUUCCAACGAUUCUGACAUAUCAUUGGAAGGGACGUGGUGACUGGCUGUACUUCUUUGUUGGAACAAGGCAUUUUCCCGCAUAGCGUUUCUGAUACUUUGAUUGUGCUAAUUCCAAAACUUAGUACAUUAUAGGCCUAUUUCUUUAUGUAAUGUGUUGUAUAGAAUUUUGGCUAAAGUUUUAGCGAAUAGGCUUAAGAAGAUUUUACCCCAUGUUAUUUCUCAAAGUCAGUCUGUUUUUGUACCUAGUAGGCUAAUUACUGAUAAUAUCUUGGUUGCUUUUGAGACUAUUCACAGUAUGAAAAGGCUUUCUUGGGGUAAUACAAGGUCUGUAGCUCUGAAGAUAGAUAUCAGUAAGGCUCAUGAUAGGGUGGACUGGGAUUUUUUGAAAUACAUGAUGAACGGCUUAGGUUUUGAUUCUAAAUGGAUUGAGUGGAUGAUAUUAUGUGGUAUCGCAUGUUUCUUAUUUUGUUUUGGUUAAUGGGGAGGUUGUGGGGCCUAUUGAGCGUAGAAGGGAUAUUAGGCAAGGGGAUCUGUUAUCUCCAUAUCUUUUUAUUUUAUGUGCUGAAGGACUAUCAGUUUUAUUAAAUGAGGUAGAGCGAAGGGGGGAGAUACAUGGGCAUCAUGAAGGGGUCGGGUGUCCACGAGUGUCCCAUCUUUACUUUGCAGAUGACUCUCUUUUAUUUUUUAGGGCUAAUAAGCAGGAGGGUCAAAGGGUAAAGGGAAUUUUGAGAGAAUAUGAAUAUGCGUCUGGCCAAGCAAUUAACUUUCAAAAAUCCGGUAUUUUUGUGAGCCCGAAUGUUAAUAAUAAAGUGUGUGCUAGGGUAUCGGGGCUUUUGGAGGUUCAUAAUCCUGUAGGAGGGGGUAAGUAUUUACGAUUACCAUCUUUGAUCGGACGUAAUAAACGCUAGAUUUUUUCCUUUUCAAAGACCCGGUUAUAGAAUAAGGUUCAUGAAUGGCAGAAUAAAUUAUUGUCUUAGGCUGGGAAGGAGAUUUUAUUAAAGUCUGUAGCGCAAGCACUUCGUACAUAUUUGUAAGGGUGUGAGUCCAGCAUCCUUACCCAUGGUGCCUUACCAUGGCGACCCUAUGGACGAAAUAAGGCUAUUGGAGACGAGAAUAGCAUGUUGAAUGGCAUAUGGACCAAGAAUAUGAGAGGGGAGAUCCGGUGUAAUUCUCUCCGCCUCCCCGGGGCCGGGAUGCGGGACCCAGCCCUAGUGAGCUAGGUGCGGGCAUCAUGUCUAUGAAGAGGGAUUGAUGUCUCCAUAGAGAAGGAGCUCUAUGGACACUAUAAGGCCGAGGGCCUAUAGUGCGCAUCUCUCCUCAAGUGAAGGUUUCGGUAUAGGCAGGACUAUGCAGCCCGGGAUGCCCGAAGGCAUUGAGCCCAUAUACGGUAGUGCGAGAUCCUUGGAUAUGCAUUGCUAGAUGAGUCCUACAGUCGGAAAGGAUGCAAAGAACCUUUGAAUAUGCAUGGCUAGCCUAGAUUAUGAGCUAAUUCUAGGCGCCACACGCGUGCCAAAGGCGCCGAGAUUCUGGCACCGAGAUUCUAGGCGCCAAACUAUAAAAAUAAUAAUAGUUUGUUAAUUGAUUAAAAGAUGUAGCAUAGACUUGCUAUACUGAUGAAAUCAAGAUUUUUUUAAGGGGUCAAAAUAUAACACUUAGUGAAUUAAAAUGCAAAUCAUGUCUAAUAGAUCAUCUGUCUUUUAACAAGUUAUAAAAUGAUUUGUUAUUUUUGUGCAAGCAUUGGACAACCAUGGUAGUCCUAUUAUUUCCGUCUAUACAAUAAUAAUCCAAAGAUUAAAAUUGAAAAGGUGGACAAACGCCAAAUUGAAAGUAACUUGUUACCUAUUAUAAAAGAUAAUGGAAAAAUAUAACACCCAGUAAAUUAGAAAGCAAAUCAUGUCUAAUAAAUCACUUGUCUUUUAACAAGUUACAAAACGAUCCUUUUUUUUUUUUUUUGUGCAAGCGUUGGACAACUAUGUCAGUCUUAUUAUUUUCGUUCAAACACAAUAAUGCAAAGAUUAAAAUUUGAAAAUUGGACAAACGUCAAGUUGAAGGUAACUUAUAACCUAUUGUAAAAGAUAAUUGAACAAUAUAACAUCUGGUGAAUUAAAAUGCAAAUCAUGUCUAACAGGUGACUUGUCUUUUAACAAGUUACAAAAUGUUUUUUAGUGCAAACUGUUGGACAACCAUGGUAUCAUGUCUAACCGGUGACUUGUCUUUUAACAAGUUACAAAAUAUUUUUUAGUGCAAACUGUUGGAUAACCAUGGUAGUCCUAUUAUUUCCGUCUAUACACAAUAAUCCAAAGAUUAAAAUUGGAAAGUUUGACAAACGCUAAGUUGAAGGUAACUUAUUACCUAUUAUAAAAGAUAAUCAAAAAAUAUAAAACCCUGUAAAUUAGAGUGCAAAUCAUGUCUAACAUAUCACUUGUCUUUUAACAAGUUACAAUUGAACAGUUUUUUUAGUGCAAGUGUUAUGACAACCACGGCAGUCCUAUUAUUGUCGUCUAUACACAAUAAUCCUAAGAUUAAAAUUGGAAAGUUGGACAAAUGCCAAGUUGAAGGCAACUUAUUACCUAUUAUAAAAGAUAAUCGAAAAAUAUAACACCCGAUGAAUUAGAAUGCAAAUCAUGUCUAACAUAUCACUUUUCUUUUAACAAGUUACAAAAUGCUCCGUUUUUUUUGUGCAAGUGUUGGACAACCAUGCAGUCCUAUUAUUUUCGUCUCCACACAAUAAUCCACAGAUUAAAAUUGGAGAGUUGGACAAAUGCCAAGUUGAAGGUAACUUAUCACCUAUCAUAAAAGAUAAACGAAAAAUAUAACACCCAGUGAAUUUGAACGCAAAUCAUGUCUAACUUAUCACUUAUCUUUUAACAAGUUACAAAAUGAUCCGUUUUUUGGUGCAAGUGUUGGACAACCAUGGCAGUCCGAUUAUUUCCGUCUAUACACAAUAAUCCAAAGAUUAAAAUUGGAAGUUAGACAAACGCCAAGUCGAAGGUAACUUAUUACCUAUUAUAAAAGAUAAUUGAAAUAUAUAACACUCGGUGAAUUAGAAUGCAAAUCAUGUCUAACAGAUCACUUGUCUUUUAACAAGUUACAGAAUGAUUUCUUUUUUUAAUCCAAGUGUUUGAAUAACCAUGACAAUCCUAUUAUUUCCGUCUAUAUACAAUAAUCCAAAGAUUAAAAUUAAAAAGUUGGACAAAUGCCAAGUUGAAGGUAACUUAUUGCCUAUCGUAAAAGAUAAUCGAAAAAAUAUAACACCCGGUGAAUUAGAAUUCAUAUCAUAUCUAACGGAUCACUUGUCUUUUAACAAGUUACAAAAUGAUCCCUUUUAUGGGGUCAAAAUAUAACACUCAGUGAAUUAAAAUGCAAAUCAUGUCUAACAGAUCACUUGUCUUUUAACAAGUUACAGAAUGAUCCGUUUUUUAAGUGCAAGUGUUGGACAACCAUGACAGUCCGAUUAUUUCCAUCUAUAUGCAAUGAUGCAAAGAUUAAAAUUGAAAAGUUGGACAAAUGCCAAGUUGAAGGUAACUUAUUAUCUAUUAUAAAAGAUAACCAAAAAAUAUCAUUUUUGCCUUUCUCUUAAUUCAUUCUCAUUUGUCUCCUCUCUGUCCACUCCAUCUUCCCUCACUAAUUUUUAUUUUUUCCCUAAAAUAUUUUUUUCUUACUACCCAUUCGGAAAUUUAAAUAUGUACUUUAAAACUCAUUAUUACUAUUUAAAAAAAAUUGUUAUAUGACCUUUUUAUAAAGCCAUGUUGGCACGCUAAUUGCUGACCCAUUUAUAAAUUUUUAUCUUUGAGCCUUGAUUAAUUAGUUAACGAUUGGGCUUACUCUUUAUUAUUAUAUGUUUUUAAUGUUCGACACACCUUAAUUAAUUAAUUUGAGGGUCUCUACUUUCUCUUAAAAUCUAAAAACUCUCUUUUUUUUUUUCUUUCGCUGGAGGCCACAUGUGGUCAUUCAUUUCCCUUAUUUAUUUAUUUUUUCGAAGAAUCCCUUAGAUUUAUAUUUUUUAAUACAUAUUUGAACUAUUGUUGUCUGAAUAUUGAUAUUUGUUAUUACUCAUAUCUUGAGAUUUUGUUUUCACAUGUAGUUCUUAUUUAUAUUGUCACCGUUAUGGUGAUUUUAUUUAAAGUAUUUUAUCAUUUGGACAGUUAUACAGAAAAAAGUGCAUAUCUACUCUCUAAUAGAAAGAAGAAAUUGAAAGUCCUCAUAUCAAACUUGUAGAAAGACAAUAGAGUCGAAUAAUGGCCAUGAUAGCCACCAAGUGAAGUAAAUGAUCGCCUACGCACAAAUAUUAUGCUAUGUUAACUAAAUCAAAUACUUCAAAACAAGAUUAUGUUUUUUUUUUUUUUUUUUUUUUUUUGUAUAAGUGGUUUAUUAGUAGACUUUCGGCUCUUUGUCUUAAUUGCGUCUGUUGUAAUUACUAUCUGCAUUUCCAAUUCUUGCUAUUUAUUUCUAAUUUUAUUUUUUAUAAAGUCCUAUAUUGAUUACAAUUUUUGUAAUCUAUUUUUUUGAGUAAUUAUUUUGUAAAAUUACAUAUGAACAUUUGGUGCAAUAUAUACCUCUCUGUUUUGAUUUUUCACAAGAAUUAAAAAAAAAAAUUUUGAACCAUCCUAAUUCUAGAAAUAAAAUAAAAGUUCAAGUAAUGCUCAAUUAAUUGAGGCAAAAUUUAGUAUAAAUAUCUUGAUAAGAAAAAAUUAGAAUAAAAUAAUUAAUAUUACUUUAAUUUUCUAAAAAUAUAAUUUGAAUGAAGUAAAAAAUUUAAAAACUGUCAAAUUUAACAUAACGUAGUAUCAUUUGUUUUAAAGUCAAAAAGGUCCAUUUAAUUUAUUUAGGAUCUGUUUGACAAUAUUAGUUAUUUUAGGCUACAUUUGACAACAAAUUUUUUAAGUAGUUUUUAAUGUUUUCUAAAAAGUUAUUCAAACAGCUAACAGUUAACCGUUACUAAAACAACUAACUGCUACUAAAAUAACUCAUUUUGCUGAACAUACCAUUAGACUAUAUUCGGUAAUAAUUUUUUAAGUAGUGUUUAAUGUUUUGACUAGUCAAUAUGUUAAACGUUAUCUUUUAUAAUAUUCGGUAAUAGAACGUUUGAAUUAGUUUUUAGAAAAUAAGAUUUUAAUAAAAAAUUAACUCAGAUAACAUUUAGACUUUAGUGUUUUAUGAAAAACUACUUAAAUAGGCACUAGCUAUUCAAACAACUAAACGCUAUUAAAACAGUUAACAACUACCAAAUCAACCAAUUUUGUUGAACAAGCCCUUAGUAGAUGUUAGUUGUAGUAAUUGUUAGUUGGUCUAUUAGCUAUUAGCUAUUAGGUGUUAGUUUUUAGCUGAUAGUUAUUUAUAUAGCAGUUUAAAUUAGAAGUGUUCAUUAAAAAUAGUUGUUUAACUUAAAAUGAUAAAAAAACAGACAUUCAUUGUUUAAUUAGCAGAAUUCAAGGAAAAAAAAUAAUGGGUAUAUAUGCUUAUCAAAAAAUUUUAAUUAAAAGCUAAACGUUGGAGUCUUUAACGAUUUACGAAAAACUUUAUAACCUUCUAAAACCUACUAUAAAAGUAACGUUAACGCUACAAUUAAUAAAAAUAAAAUUUUGACUUAGGUCAAUAUAUUAAAAGUUAUCUCAAAAACUAUUGAUAGUCCGCGUCUUAGUUUGGUUUAUUUAAUAACUAGCACGCCCAACUUUGUUUUCAAGUUGUUUACAGCUUUCAAAUUAUUUUUCUGUUCAUUUUUUGAAGCCACAUCAACACCCCAUGAAUCAAAUUGCUAAUUAAUUUCAUGUCUAUUUUGAAAUACAUUGAUAGAGACAAUUAACGAUAACUGUUAUUCCCUCCAAUUUUCAGUUUCUUCACACAAGAAAAUGAUUAAUUUACCUUAAUUCUAUAAAAUUUUCAUUUCAAAUUACCUAAAUACUCUUUCACCUUUUUAAAUUUUAAUAUUUCCUUUGGGUAAAGAAAAUUCAAUAAAUAAGGGUAAAGAAAUAAAAAGGCAAUAAAUUCUUUUUCAAAUUCUAAAAAUCUUAAAAAUUGAUAGUUUUAGGGGAACAAAGAAAGUAAUUACAAAAGCAUUAAUUAAAGAGUUUCUUAAAUUUUCAUUGAGUUGAAUAAAAUUUAAAAAUUUUUAAAAUAUAUAGGUCAGGGAAUUAAAAAGUACUACAUAUAUUCAGAGAAUUAAAAAGUAUUAUUAUCUUCGUUUAAUUUUGACACUUUUUGACUUUUUUUUUACAAAAAUUAAGAAAAUAAUUAAACUAUUUAAAUUUUUAAAAAAUAAAAAUAAAUGACUAAAUUAUCCUCUUACUAAUUUUUAUAAUUAAAACGGACAAAUUAUAAUGAUAACAACCAGAUAAAGGUGGUAUCAAAAUAAUAAUUAAUAUUACUACUUUUGAAUUUUAAAAAGUAUGAAUUAAGUGAAUAAAAAAUGUGAAAAAAAUAUUAAAAUUAACGAAUGGAGGUAACAAAUAUAUCAUAAGAUGUAUUUUCAAUAAGAAUUUAUAUUAUAUAUCAUUCGAUGUACAUGUGGACAACUAGCCGUUAUAAUUUGAUUAUCAUAUUUAGGUUGUCAUAUUUAAGUUAUUACUACAUUUAUUAAUCUAAUACUUAUGCUCCCUUUUUCUUUGUUAAGAGAAAACAGAAAAUGCACAAAAGUGAUAGUUAAAUUGAAUACUUUUUCCAUUUUUAUUUAAUAUAUUCUUAAUUUGCAUUAAUUGCUCUAUUAAUUAUGAUGGAGCUAACUCAUAAAAAGAGUGUCUUAAGGGCACACUUAUUCAGCAAUUAAUGCCUAAAAUGGAAAAAUAUUUAAGGAAAUGCUGCAAUUGUUUUGAGAAUUUAAAUUUUUUCAAAUUUGACUUUCCCACAUUUAUAUCAAGUAUUGAGCAAUUUCAAUGAUAUGCACCCAAAUUUAAUGAAAAUUUGGAGUUAAAAUUUUUUGUUACCGCAACAGUCUUCUCAGUGUGAUUACAUAAAAAUUUCUACCUGACCUAAAAUAUGUUAUUGCAUUCACAGAGUUUUAAAAAUAAGGGGUUAUAAUUUUUCAUACUUUAUAGAUCCAUUAUUUUUUAUCUUAAUGACAUUCCAAUUAAUUCAGACAUAUAUUCUGAAAAUAUGCGUGCUAUUUUUUAAUUGACAGACUUGAACUACUUACUUGAUGACCAAAAAUGAAUUUUCGAAAACAUAAUAUUGAUAAACAAAUAUAAAAAAAUGAGCAUGCAUUUAUAAAUGAAGCACAUUAGAUUUGUACUCCUUAACCAAAACAGAUUUUUGUGCAAUAUAUUUUUAAUAUAAACACAUUCGUUAACUCUUCAGAAGUUUAUAAAUUUGUGAUAAAACAAUUGUUUACAUUUGCUUUGAAAACACAAGAGCAUUAAAUGUCUAACCUUUUUUUUGUCUGUCACUUUCUCUUGCUAACCAUAUACAAUUAACACGGAAACUCAAAUCAAGUGAGAAUUCAAUUCAAAUAAAUUUCUUUACGUAAAAAAUAUUCUAAAUAGAAUUUUUUUCUAAAUAAAGAUAAUAUAUGGAGUAAUGUUAAAAUUUAAUAGCAAUUAAAUAACAAUUUAUGAACAAAUGGCGCUAUUAUUCUUUUUAUAUAUUAACAUGAUCAUUAACCGUAUACUAAAAUUCUGACAUGGAAUAUUUCUUCAUCUCACAAUGAAAUGAAAUGUCUUAGGUUUUUUUGUUUCUUUAAUAACCGCUAAACUGAGUCACAAAGAAGCUAUACUAUUAAUGCAUAAUUGCAUUCCUAUGAUUAAGACAGCACAAGUCACCAUCUCAUCAAUGGAGGAGACCUCACGAUAAGGUUAAUGGCCGCGAAGCUAUAUUAGUAUUUUCUCUGAAAUGAACACCGGAUCGACACGUGUCACUGAAGAGAACAGACUGCUAACAGAUAUUGGCGUUGAUUUCUUUCUGGCAACACAUCGGCUAAUCGCCUAACCCAAUACUACCGGCUCUACCUUCAAAAAGUACGAAAAACUUGAAACUCGCGUCAUAUGAUCACCGCGUGUCCAGUGGCCAGGUGUCUAACUUGUGCAGAGAGUAAAGAUAGAUGUACUCGCUAGCGAGUGAAGGAAAAAUAAAGAAGGCAACAGGACUAGCGGAAACGGCUUUGAGGGAGUGGAUAGCGAUACGGACACUGACCAAUUAUAGGGGCUCAUAGCGUGUGCCGAGAGAGUCACGUGACCUGAGUACGGUUCUCUCUGAAGGCUCUGUUUGGAGUUCAAUUUAUUUCCAUGGCACUUCAAUAUUUUUGCCUUUUUUUUCAAUUUUUAUUUUUCAAAUUUCAAUUAAGAUGAAAAUGGAAAAUCACCAAAAUUUCUUUUCUCACAACGUGGAUACUCUUUUCAUUCCAAAAAAUAAAUAUACAUUCUUUUUAUAUUUGUUCAAAACUAUAUAGCUGUAUUUCCUUUUUUACAAGAUGAUAAUCUUUAUAGUUUUUAUUUUACUCUUAUUUAAUAUGUAUUUUUGUCAAGAAAUAUAUUAUUAUACCAUUAAUCAAAAUAUUGAAAUAAAUUGAUUAUUAUUGGCUUUUAUAUUAAUGAAUUCCAUAAUUUUGAAAUAAGGAUAAUUAAUAGUUAAUAUAAGUAUAUAUCAAUAAAAAAUUAAGUAAAAAAUAUAAUUUAAUAAUAUUAGUUGUAUUUUAUUUAUCUAUGUAAAACUUAAAUUGGACCCAAGGGACUUUAUAGUUAAUUUAACUAUAAUUUUGGAAUCAAUUUGUAAAUCAAUUGACAAUUAAAAAAAGUUAUUUUGAUUGAAAAAACCAAAAUAUGUAAUGAAACUAUAAGUUAGAGACUUUGUCGUAAUUUUUAAAAAUAAAAAUAUUUGUAUAUUAAUUUAAUUAUAAUUUAGGCAUCAAUUUUUUAAUUUUUCUAUUAUGAUGAAAUGAGAAAAGUAUUAACCAUAAGAAUUAGAAAUUUCUUACCUUGAUUUAUUACAAACCAAUAAAUUUUAUUGACCGUGAUAAUAAGCUUUACGUCUAAUCUAUAAAGGUAAGGUUUUGUUCAUCUUACAAAUAUUUAUAAUGCUUAAAAGUUUGAUAAAUUCUCUAAGAAAUUAUUGAGUAAAUCGACUGUAUUACCUUUAAUUUAAUAUCAAUUCUCUAAGAAAACUAUUAAAUUAAAGUAAUAAUUAUUGGUAUUAUGCAAAAGGGAAACAUAGAAAAAAAGAUUUAUUACUCCUUCAAACCACAAAUGUGACAAGUAUUUUCGAGUAAACUAUUUUCUCAAAUGUGACAUGUACUAUAGAAUGGAUGUAGUAUGUAUCUCUAUAAUGAAAUUUAAUAAGUGAGCAUUAGUCUUUCAAAGAAGAUACUCUAUCCGUUUCAUUUUAAUAACAGUAUUUGAUCUUUUCACAGUGAUUAAAAAAAUGACUGCGACACAUUAAUUUUCUCAAAUAUAUGAUAAAAUGUCUAAAUUGUCAUUUUUAAAAUUAAAAGCUGCCAAUUUAAUUUUGUCAUAAAACACUUAAUAAAUAUGAGUAAAAUUGAAAAAAAAAAUUCAUAUACUCUCAAAAUCCUAAAUGAAUACUUAAAAUAGAACAAAGUAAAAUGUUCAUUUGUUACUAUUAAAAUGGAACAGAGGAAGUAUUAGUUUUGCAAAAAAGAAAAAGAAGACAUUAGUUUUCCAGAAAAGAAAGGAAAAAACAGAAGAAAUUAGUCUUGUAAAUUUUGUUCAUAAAUCACGUCUUCUCCAUUAAUUCAUAAAAUUGUUCUUCGUCACAGGGAUCCCAAUAGAGGGAAGACAUUAGUUUUUUUUAUUAUUAUAUUCAUUUCUAUAAAAUUUGAAUAAAAAUAUUUACAAAACUAAAAAAUAAAAUUCAUAAUAACAUCUAAAAUUUAAUUUUAUUAUUAAAUAAAAACGUAUUACACGAUAAUAAAAAUAAUAAUGAAUUUAUUAUAUAAAAUAAUGGUUCCCUAUUAAAAAAAAUAAACAAUAAUAAUUGUAACACAUAAAGUUAAUCCAACUUAUAUGAGAAUGUACAUGUUAAAAUUAAAUACAUAAAACAAGAAUUAGACUUAAGAUUAUAAUAUUUAUACAUAAACAUAAAGUAAAAUUUUAUGGAAUACUAAAAUUCAAUUACAAUUGAUAAUGAAUAAGAAGAACAAAUAUAGAAUAAUAUUAAUAUUUCCUACUAGAAUUGCAGAAGCUCUUGCAAUUCGUGAGGCAUUGAGUUGGAUAAAUUCCCACUCAUGGAGCUAUAUUAAAUUAGAAUAUGAUGCUGAAUUUUCACUUGUUUGGAACAAAUAAAUUCCAUAAAAUUUUGUGAAAUUCAUUGAGAAAUUUAUAUUUAUGUGUUUGGAAUAAAAAAAAAUGAGAUAAAUUUUAAUUCUAGGAAUUCAAUUCUAUGGAAUUCAAUAUAACUACACCAAAUUUCACAAAAACAGAUGAAAUUUUCAAAUGAAUUUCACAAAACUAAGUAAUUAAAAUUUUUAUGACAAAACUACCAUUCUCCUUCUACAAAGUCAAAUUUUCAAUUUUUCACUUAUUUAACUUAUUUAUUUUAUCAACUUGACCAAAAUCAUUUAAAAUUAUUUUUUAGAAAAUAUUUUCUUAUUAUUCUGUUUUUUUAUUUUAAUAUUUUUCUUCUUUUUAUUUUAAUAUUUUUAGCAUCUUUUUACUAUUGAGGAGAGAGAUUAAAGUUAAAUAUAUACUUAUCACCGAAUUAAACACAAUAAUUUUAUUAAUAUUUUUUAUUUUAUAUAUUUAUUUUUAAUAAAAAUAUAAAAAAUUAUAUAGCAUAAUAUAAAUAAAAUUGAUAUUAUAUUAUUUUUUUUUUGUGAAAUUUUACUAUUUCAAAGGAUAUUUGAGGAACAAAAGUUAUGAACUUUCAAUUAUGAAUUUAUUCCAUACAUGAUUACGUGGAAUUUAAUUGAUUAAUAUUUUUUAAUUAAUCAUACCAAAUAUAAAAAUGUAUUUACAAAUGAAUUAUAUUAGAAUUCAUUUACAAAUGAAUUCUAUAUUUUGAAUUCAUUUAUACGAAAAGAAUUCAUUUACAUGAAAUUUACAUGAAACAGCGCGCAUUAGCGUGAAUUCUAUCAAUGACUCCAUAUGAAGGGAUUUCUCUUUUUUUAGCUCUACCAUUACUGAUUCUAAAUCUCUAAUCACAAAAAUAACCAGUGUCGGUAUUCUUUUAUUUAUCAACUUGCGAAUGAUGUAGUUCAUAAUUUAGCUAAGGCAAUCUUAUUUUUGUCAACUGCACCAAUUUUAGUUUCACCUUUUAAUUGUAUUGAGGCUUGAUAGCUAUUAGUAAUGCAAUUUCAUAUUAUUUUCUAAAAAAAAUAAUAUUGAUAUUGAAUUGAAAUUAAUAGAAAUUAAAAUUAGUACAUCAACAAUCUCUCUCUAUAUAUAAGCUCAAUCAAAUUUAGUUACAUGACAUAUGAAACUUAAUUAUUAAUUAAUGAUGUGAAAUUUUAUUAUUUUUAACAUUUUUAUUUAAUUAUUUAAUUUGAAGAAAUCAAAUUAUAAGUCUUUUAAUUUUCUUUAUUCAAUAAUUAAUAACCAUCUAAUAAAUUUAUUUCAUUAAUAAAAAAAACUCUUUGUUUUCUUUCUUUUGCAAUAAUCAAUAGUCUAAGCCCCGUUUGUUACAGUUAUUUGUUUUUAGUUUUUUAUUUAUUAGAAACAUAAAGUUAUUUUCAAUGUUUGGUUACUUAUUUCUCAAAACUGUUGUUUUUUUUCUAAAAUUAUUUUUUUCUUUUUUUAGUUCAUGAUGUGAAAAAUUUUUCUAAUUAUCAAAUCUCUCCCUUAUUAAGCCAUUAAAGAUUUUAGUUAAUAAUAAAAAAAUCUAUGAAUAUAAAAUUUAAGACAAAAUAAUUAAAAAUAUUUCACACUUUAAUUUUUAAAUUUAAAGUUAAAUUAACUGUUGAUUAUUAUGUAUGCAAUCAAUUGAAUAAAAAUAUAAUAUCCAAGUUAUAAUAAACACAUAAUACUAAAUGACAUUAGAUUUAUAUGGAUAGAGAAAAUACUAAUAAUAAAUAUCUUAAUAAUACUAAAUAGAGAAGAGAUGAAAAAAAAAUCGUAAAAUUUUAAUAGAGAUAAUAAAACUAAUGCUUAUAUAUUUUGGAUAAAUGAAUGACAUUAGAUUUAUAUGGAUAGAUAAUAAUAAUAGUAAUAAUAAUAAUAAUAAUAAUAAUAAUACAACUUUAUAAGAAUAAGUCUUAUAAAAAAAAAGAGAAAUGUAGAAUAAAAAUAGAAAGCAUAGUUACAGAAAUCAUUAUUUGUGGUUUCAUAAAAUUUAUUUUUUGUUUUAAAAAAAAUUUCUAAAAAGUAAAAAAAAAAAUUAAACAAGUUUAAACAAACAAAUUUUGCUUAUUUUUUAAGGAAAAAAAUGAAAAAAAAACUUAAUUUAAAACAAACUGCACCUUAGUAAUUUAGAUUUUUUAUUAAUACUAGAAUACUAAUUAAUUUUUUCAAUAAUUAAUAACCACACUAUAAAUUAAUAUAGCAUUUUAGUAUUUUAUAAUUUACUUAUCUUCUUUUUUUUUUAAAUAAUUUCCUUUUGAGUACUGUGUAUAUGAUUGUACUACAUCUCCUAAAUUUAUCAUACAAAUUCUUAUUUUCUUUUUUAUAUUUAAUAUAUUUUUAGAUAAUAAAAAUGCAUACCUUGAACAAAAGACAUCUAUAAUUAACUAUUCCUAAAGUUUUUUUUCCUUUUCCAUUCAUGUAAUUGUAUGGUUUGAGUAAUUGUUUAAUUUGCAAAUUAGCUAAAAAUAUGAGUUUAUUGUUUUAAUUUAUUAGUGUAAAAUUCUUUUAUAAUUUUUAUAUGUAUAGAAAAAAUUGGAUUAGCAGUUUUUGUUAUCAUAGUCAAGAAUAAAAAAAAAGGCAUGAAUGACAAAUAUUAUUUUUUUUCAUCAUAUUAAUUUAUUUAUAUUUUUGAAUUAAAUUCGUAUCAAUUAUUUAUAAAUAUUAAUCCACAUCGUGCAAGCAAACGACUAAUUAAAUAAUAAUACAACAAGCAUCGAGUGUUUGAUGUAUCCUUAACGGCAAAACACACGAUAUCAAAAGUAAAGAAAUCCUUGACGGUGAAACUAAAUAAAAUUACAUAAUUAUAUAUAUUGUGGUAAUGUAUAAUAUAUAACUUUUAAUUAAGAUAUAUUAAAACUUUUACAAUAAGAUAAUAAUUCCUAAUAAAAAAACAAAAUUUUUGUAAUAAUUCUUAAUAAUAAAAAUAUGAUAAAACUCUACAAUAGGACAUGUGAAAUAUCUCAAUUAGAGAUAUAUUGAAUUUCUCAUUUUAGUAAAUUUAUAACUAUUUUGUACACUAUUAAAAAUUUUUUAUCUUUAUUACUUUUUAUUUUAUCUUUUAGCCAAUAAAAUAUAAAUUUUUACAUAUGAAAUUUUUAUUUUUUCAAGCAAUUAAAUUAAAAUCUUUAAAGAUAUUUUUGUUAAUUUAUAAAUUUAACAAGCUACUUUUAACUAUAUCAAUAUUCCAUUUCCUUUUCCCACUUUUAUUUGUCAUAUAUAAAUUAUAAAUAUAAAAUAAAAUUUACUUUCAAAUUUAUAUUUCUUCUUUUUUUGGUAUAUAUACUCAUAAAUAUCUGUAAUUUUUACAUGAGAUUAAUCUCCUUUUUGAGAUUUGUGUUUACCUCUAUUUAUAAAUACUUUUGAGAUCUAUUUCUUUUAACUGGAGACAAUAUUCCAUGUAUUUUUAAAUUUUUUUUCUUUUAUUAUAAAUUAUAGUAUUAUAUAAAAUAACAUUUGUACUAUCAUAAAAUUUUCCCUCUUACUUAAAAAAAUCCAGCAAUUAAUUUUAAUUAAGAAGACCUCUAGAAAAUCUCUAAUGUCACUAAUUUUUCUAAACAAACAGUCCUUUAUAUUUUCUCUCUCUGUCACUGUCUCCAAACCUUUUCAUAAAGAGAGAAACUUGUAACGUCAUUUUGAAACCAGAGCCCUCCCUUCUCUACUACUUUCUCUCUAUUCUCUACUCUCUACUCUCUACAGUCUCCUCUCCAAAAAUCGAAAAAAAUCCCGCUUACAACCGUCGAACUCUCUUGCUCUCUACACCUAUAUUUCAAACAAACAUACCCUCUUUCUCUGUUUUUAUCUUUGCCUUUGUUAGCAAUGGCGGAGUUUCCUCCAAAUUUGGAUGACGGAGAGCUAUAUCUUCCGUCUGAUAUUUUUCUAACUGAAGUACCCUCUAAAUAUAACCCAUAUCGUCUUUCUUGCAUGGAAGAUCUUGCUACUCAUUUCGCUUCUCUCUCUUUACUUAAAAAUCAACCAUCUUCAACCCCUUCAAGACCUCCUCCCAAACCACCGUUAAAUUAUCAGGUGAUUUGAGCAUUACCAGUUUAUUUUCUUUUUAUUUUUUUAAUGUUGUCAUGCAUGCUUGUCUAACUGGUGUUUUUGGCUCUAUUUGGUGUAUUUGUUUCGUUGUAGAAGGUAAAAAUGGCGGUUAGGGAUUUAUCGGCGAACCAUUUGCCAGCUGGGCAUGUUGGUUUUAAUGGCGGUGGUGGUGUUGCUGGUGUUGAGAUCGGUCAAAGACUUUACGGGUACGGAAACGGUUCCUUUUUAGCCCGGUCUGAACCGUUUUACGAAUUUCAAGUCCAGCCACAGGUGAGUAAACAGGAACAUAAAUCCGGUUCUGUUAUCUUUUUAUGGGUUGUCCUAUCAAAGGUCUUUACUUUUUGGCAGCUUUAAUAAUAGAUAUUAUAUUUACACUUACAGGGGCCUUAAAAAAAAAUUGAUGGGUUGGUUGUCAUGUAUAGGUUGAUAGCUACUUGGACACAAGGCCUAUGCUUUUGCAAAGGCCACGAACCCCAAUUCAGAAUCGGGUUUACCCAUUUCGAGGAAGUGGGUUUGAAUUUGGUGGCGGUGGUGGUCGUAGAGGGAGAGAAUCUGGAGGGACUGGUGUUUUUCACCCUCGUAUUGUCCAUAACUCCACAAAUGACUCUCCUUUUAAUGCUGAUUAUAAAAGGAAGCAAGGUGAGUUGGCUUGCUUUUGUUGGUAAUCUUGGUUUGUUUAGUUUUUCUUAAUAUGGUUUCUUGAUAUAUGGCCUUUGUUGGUGAUUGGGUGUUUCUAAUACGAGUUUCAGGUCAAGAUGGUGUAAAUGCAUAAGAAUACUUAUUUAUAGAAAAUAAAAUUGAAACACACUAGAAAUGUUAAACUUCAUUUGUGACUUGUAUCAUUUCUUGCAAUUUGUUUGUUUUUAAUAAUCAAAGUUUUAGGUGUGUGUAUGGGAUUUAUGUUCCAUGGGGUGUGUCCCCUAUAAUUUUGAGGUUGUGGGGUCCUAAACUCUAGCUUUUUGGGCUGAAAUAAGUUCUUUUGUGCUUUUGGAAGUAUUAAACUAAAAAUGGUGGCUAUAAUUCCUUCUUUAACUGACUGAACCUGUAAUUUGGGGUUAUGCUCAUGCUUCCUUUAGUGGGUAUAAACUAGCUUGUCAAAUUUAUUUUUAUGGAGUAAUCGGCCAUUGGAUUAUUAUCAGCUGUUAAGUGUCAUUAUCAAUAAGACUUGAAAUCAAAUCUCAAGAAAAUUGCUAAUAUGUCUGGGAUUUUUCUUGACUAAAAUUCCAUCUUUUUUAUAUAUAUUAUAAUAAAUGUCAUUAUCAAUAAGACUUGAAAUCAAAUCUCAAGAAAAUUGCUAAUAUGUCUGGGAUUUUUCUUGACUAAAAUUCCAUCUUUUUUUAUAUAUAUUAUAAUGUAAAAUUUCACUUCCUAAUGGAUUAAGAGUUGAUGUUUUUAUUCACCUGUGUGAGGUGAGGUUUUGGGGCGGCUUAGUAUUGUGAUUGACAUUGUUUUUGGGGAAAAAAGAAAAUCUUUUUAGAUGCUUUUGAGAGAAAAUAGUUUUGAGUGUCUUGGUGUUGCUAUUUUGAAGUUUAUAUUAUUAAUAUUUGUAAAAAUUAUCUUAAAAAUAAAUUUAAUGAUGUUUCCUAAAUCAUUUUUAGCAAUCUUUUUUCCCUAGUAACAGCUCAAACGGUAUUUGCUACAUUCAAAUUCCCUCCCAUAAUAUCCCCCAUUCCCCCCCACCCAAAAAAAAAAAAAACAGCAAUGCCUAACACACUCAUUUAAAAGAACAAAAAAAAAAAAAAAAAAAAAAGGAGCCAUGAGCUUUUCUUUUUCUUUUAACUGUUUUGUAGAUAGAGACCAUUGAGCUGUUUGGUGAUUAAAAUGUUGAACAUAACAAAUGUAUAAUAUGUAUGUCUUGUAUGGACCCAGAUGAUAAUGCUAUGUUCUCUUAUUAUUUUAUGAAGCUCUGUACUGGCAUACUGCAAAUACAAAAGAGGAAAAAAAAAAUCUGUAAAAGCUAUAUUUGCUUUUCUGGUAAUUGUCAGGACUCAGUUGCAUAAUAAGAAUGCUCUCUUUAAUUGCUGAGAGUUUCCAGAUACGAUUAUGAUGGUCAUGCGUACAUACAUACAUACAAAUAUCUAAGAAAUUAAUAUAAAAGAAAGUGGAAGAACAAAAGAAUAUUUGCAUUAAUGAUUUUAAACCCUCUGAUAGUUCUCUAAUCUGAUGUUUCACUUAUAGUAUAUUCUCUUAAAUUCUUGACAGGUGUGAGAAAUAAACAGGAAAUUCAAGUCAAUAGUCAACAGAGAAACUCCAUGAGAAGGGUUAGCAAGGAAGAGGAUUGUUAUUAUCAUCUUCCUCCAGAGAUGGGUUUGCCUCAAGACUGGACUUAUUGAGCUUAUCUUCUCCAAUUUCAGUGUAGAAGAAGAAAAUGAUUAGAAUAAGACCUUUGAGGAGAAGAAUAGAAGAAAGUUAAAUAAUUUGUAGGAUUUUGUGUGCAGUGCAGUGAAGGUAAAGAGAAAUAGGUAGAGAUUAGCAGAGAAAAAGGUAUGUUUAGUAUGUGUUUUAUGCUUGAAAGCUUUGUAGAAAUAAAUAAUGUCUAAGCUUUUGGUUUGGAGUGAAUUAUUAUUAAAUGGCCAAUACUAAGCAUUGAUGGAAGAAUAAUCAUUGAACAUAGCUCAAAGCUGGGAAGUGAAUUGUUGCCUUUAGAACUGUAAAAUAACAUACUUGAACUCUCCUUGAAGUUUAAAUAAAAAUAUAUGUUUCCUUUCUAAUUCUUUUUGAGUGAAUUUAAUGAUAAUAACCAAUAAACAUUGAUUGAAAAAAUCGAAACUUACCUAGUAAGUCGGAAAUUAUUGAUAACUGCAUGAAUUAAUUAGCCAAAAAGACUCGAUUGAAUUUUAUUUCCCCAAAAAUCAAAUCUUACCAAGUACUAAUUCUUAAUGUAUGGCUAGUCAAAAUACUAUUUUUUUUUUUGCUUUUGCUGUUGUACAAAAGAUAUGAUUUCUGUGUUUAUAAAGAAAGUCUAGUCGGUUUACAUGUGUUAAUGAAACCUACAACUAUAGAUUACCUAACCAAUUAAAUUUAUUAUCUAUCUAAUUUUUAUAUUUUCGUACUCUUCUCUUCCUUUUCUAUUCUUUUCAUUUAUGAGUUUUACUCGUAUCAAGUUUUUUUUAAUCAAUAUAUCAAUUAUUGUAAUCAUUAUUAUCUAUGAUCUAUAUUAUAUGUAAAAGUACGAAUGAAGGAGAGAUUGAGUUUUUAAAAUGCCCUUGCUAAAUUUAUGAAUUUACAAAGAUAUCAUUACUAAUCAUCUUCUAAUUAUGAUAUCAAUUUAUUAUUUUUGUUAUAUUAAUGUUAUAAAUUUAUUUUCAUUUUAGUUAGAAAUUUGUCCUCUCAUACCACUAUAUAUAUGUUUAAUUUUUAUUGCUUUGGACCUUUUGACUAUCAAAAAUUGUUACAUCGAGUUUUUACUAGUUUAAAAUUAUUGAGUUUGCAAUCAUGUCUUCUUGCGGUGAGUAUUAACCUUAACUCUCUCUAUUUACAAAUUGAUAUAAUAGUUUUUAUUUAUAGUUCUUAUAAUUUAGAUUUAUAGAUUUAUAAAUUAACUGUAAUUAUUUAAUAAUCGUGAAUAAUUACAAGUUUAAAAACUUUUCCUUCUGAAUAGUAUUAUCAUAAAAUAUUUUAAAGGGACGAACCCUCCAAUUAGAAAAUUUUUAAUUUUAUUUAUCGAUUAAAAUUAUAUAAUAAUUUUUAAGUAGAUUGAUUAUAUUAGUUUUCUUGAUCAUAUUAUUUUUAUUAAUUAACAAAUCUUAUUUCAUUAUUUCCAUUGCUAAGAGCUGACGAAGGUUCUACAGACGUGUUAGCAACGGAAUUCUUUUUCAUUUUUAAAGUUACAACCUAAAUUUAUUUUUUCGUCCCUUGCUGAGUUGGUUCUAUAAACCGUUUAGCAACGGAAUUUUUAUCCGUUGCUAAAAUUAUAACCAUAGCUCAAAACCUAUUUUCACUUCCCUUUCUCAUUUCUUCCUCCUUUUAUUUUAUAUUUUAUUAAUAAAAAUUUAAAUUUUUUUAGAUUGUAAAAUUAAUAUUUAGUAAGAUAAUAUCUUUUAUUUUUUAUUUUUUUAGCUUCAAAUAUCUCGAUAAAAAUAAGAUAGUUGAGAGAAUUACAAUAUUUAAAUUAUAAUAUAAUAAUCAUAAUUUUUUUGCAUGUAUAAGAAUUUCAAAUUAUAUAUAUAUAAAUUGUGAAUGAGGGAAAAAGUUGAAUUCCUAAAAUGCCUCUGCAGACUUUUAAUUUAAUUAGUUGAUUGAAGAAUAAUUUAGUGUUAUUCUAGUUAGGAGACUUUUGAAAUUUCUGUACAUAUAAAAAUACUAUGAUUUAAUAUCUUAUAAUUUAAAUAUAUUAUACUAUAAAAUAUUAAAUUUAUUAAUCCCUUAUUAGUAGCUCUUUUUUUGUUAAUUUUAUUGGUAUUUUAUUAGUUUUAUUAGUAACUCUAUUUUAUUAAUUUUCUUGAUAUUUUAAUAGUUUAUUAGUUAAAAAUAUCAUUAAAAAUAAUUUACUCCUAUUCUAAUUAGAAAACUUUUGGAAUCCCUAUACAUAUAAAAAUACUAUGAUUUAAUAUCUUAUAAUUUAAAUAUAUUAUAAUAUAAUAUAUUAUAAGUUUAAUCUCAUUCUAAUUAGGAAUUUGACUUUACUCCUAUUCUAAUUAUGAUAUCAAUUUAUUAUUUUUAUUAUUUUAAUAUGAUAAAUUUAACCUCACUCAAAUUUGUCCUUUAAUACUAUUAUAAUUAGGAUUUUGUCCUAUUAUAUCACUAAAUACACGUUUAGUUUUAAUUACUUUUGAGUUUUGACUAUUAAGAAUUUGUUACUCUUAACUAUCACAAAUUUAUUGCUUUUCACCAUUAAGAAUCAUUACAUCAACCUUUGCUAAUUUACAAAUAUUGAAUUUGCAAUCAUGUCUUCUUCUUGCGGUAAGUAUAAUAUUAACUUUCUCUAUUUACAAAUUGAUAGAAUAAUUUUUAUUUAUAUUUAUUAAGUAUGUUCUAGCAAUCACGGAUUAAACUAAGUUUAAUCUAAUUCGAAAUAAGAAAUUAUUAAAGAUUUUAAUUUUAUUAAUUGAAAAAUAAAGAUAAUUUAAUUAUUAAGGAUUUUAAUUUUUUAUUUAAAUAUAAAUUUUAUUGAAUAAAAUAAUAAAUUACAUUAUAUAUUAUAUAAGAUAUAUAUGGUAAAAAUAUAAAACUUUAAGGAUUUUAAUUUUAUUAAUUGAAAAUAAAGCUAAUUUAAUUAUUGGAAAUAUAAAAUUUACUAAAACCAAUCUGAUUAUGAGUUGUAAAUCAAAAUAUAAAAUUAGAUAGAUAAGUGGAAGGGUGAAAGAAAGAGAGAAAGAGAGAAAAAGAAUAUCAAUGAUAUAUGAUUCUAAUAUGUAAGGUCUAUGAGUCAUCACAUAAAAAUUAUAAAAAUUAAUGUAAUAAAGCAGCAAUACCAAUUGAUUUAUAAUUAAACUAAUCUGUUCAUAAAAAAAAAAAAAAUCAAGAGCCUCGAGUUAAUAAAGACUAAGCAGAUUGACGCAAAGACAAGCUUCAUUAGAGGCUCCAUUGUAAAAUUAAGACCUAAGCAUUAAUGAAGAAGCGAUGGGAACGACGGAACCUAUAAUAUUUUAUUGAUUUAUUGAAAAAAAAAUCAUAAUAAUAUUGCUUUUGGCGGGGUAGAGCGAAAGGUACCAGAAGACUAAUUUAGUUAGAGAUCAUACCCAGACUAUCUCUACAAAUGAAAUAAAUAUUGAAAGAGUCAAUAUUCGCGCGCGAAGUUUUUUUUAUAUUCUAAAGUAGAAUUUUUUCUAUUAGAAUUAUGAUAUCAGAAUUAUGAUAUCAGAUUGCUCAAAUUUAGAA
rnacentral:lncRNA from 1 species